AUGAAGGAAGCCUGGAAGAGGCCUGCCGUAGUGGCUACUAUGACUAUGUAAAUAUUGCCUUUCUGGUAUCCUUUGGCAGUGGCCAAACACCGGAACUGAACUUAGCUGGCCACUGUAUCCCGAGCCCAUGCACCUUCCUGAGUUCUCAGAUAGAGGUUUGCCAGAGCCUGGGCAUCAAAGUGCUCCUUUCUCUUGGUGGAGGUGGUGCCGGGGCAGGGAGAGGACCAAUCCUGGCUUCUCCCGAGGAUGCUCGCGAUGUUGCAGCCUACCUCUGGAACAAUUACUUGGGCGGUCAAUCAGACUCUCGCCCACUUGGUGCUGCUGUUUUAGAUGGUAUAGACUUUGACAUCGAAUAUGGAUCGAACCUGUACUGGGAUGAUCUCGCCCGGGCACUCUCGGGAUACAGCACAGCAGAGAGAAAGGUGUACUUAUCUGCAGCACCACAAUGCUUCUUUCCUGACUAUUAUCUUGAUGUUGCUAUCAGAACUGGCCUCUUUGAUUUCGUCUGGGUGCAGUUUUACAACAAUCCGCCUUGUCAGUAUGGUACAAGCACAGGCAAUGCCGAUAACCUCUUGAACAGUUGGAGUAAUGAUUGGGCCCCCCAUCCAGGCGUUAAUAAAUUAUUCCUGGGAUUACCUGCAGCCCCUGAGGCAGCACCUAGUGGCGGUUACAUCCCACCUGAAGUGCUAAUUAAUCAGAUUCUUCCCGUUGUGCAGAGCUAUCCCAAGUAUGGAGGGGUCAUGCUUUGGAGCAGAUUCUAUGACCGAAACUACAGUCCAGCAAUCAGGCCUUAUGUUAACGGUGAUCCUCUGACUUAUACAACCAAGUCCGUGAAAAAAUCCCAUGCUGUAGCAUGAGUUCCUCUCAUUAUCUGCCACGAGAUGAAAUGUAGUCCUGGCUGCUUAUGCCAGAGACCAAUCUACUAAUGAAUAAUGGGCUAUGAGUUCCCCAAUCGAUUAAAAUGUUCUGUAAAUUUCUUCCCGUUUUAAUCGCUCUUUCUCUCUCUCGAAUGAAGGGGUACAAGAUCUAGUUUGAAGAACCAGUUGCACCUUCUCUUUUUUCUUUUUCUUUUUUUUUUUUUUAAUACAACUUCUUCUAGAUAAUGAUUUUUUGAUAAUAUUCAAACCACAUUUAAAUUGAAAAAGAAAAUGUUAAUUUGCAAUUGAAGUUUGAGGAACACUAUUUCCCCUCAUAUUUCAGUGCAUUACAUGGCCAACAACCUCAGAUGAUAUGCAAAUAAACUCUUGCAUGCAUGCUCAUCAAAUUUCAUAUACAAUUUUGUAGCCUACAGAGAAGUUUACGCAUGGAUGUUUAAGUAUCAGAUAAGCUUGGGCGAAGACCAAAUUUUGUGUACUAUUGAAACAUGGAACAAGAUUUCAAUCCCAUACAUAACCUCUAAAAUCACAUACAACUAUAAUUUUUGUUUCUUGUUUUUUUUUUUUCCUUGGAUGGUAUUAAAAGGUGUACAAUCUGUCUGCCUCAGAAUCACUUCCGGUCAGUGCGAGUCACUUUGAGAGUUAUGACAAUUUCACUAACCUCCCAUCAAAUCUAGAAAACAACAAUUACCUCCCCUCUUCUUAGAUUUGGUCUAAUGAUUUCAAGGUAUUUGGUAUACAUUGCCUUCUCAUGACCCACAACAAAGGGACAGCAAUCCAAGGGCUUUCGUUUUUAUUAAUUUUUUUGGAGUACAAAUUAAUUUCUCAUUAGCAUGUUAUGAAGCAUAUGAUAUUCUUGUUCGCAACAAUUUCUUUCUACGAAAAAAAAAGAACAGAGAGAAGGGGGGAAAAAAAGACUCAACUGAUGAACAUUUAAAAUGGAAACUCAUGUCCAUCCAUAAAUUAUGACAAGCUUGGUAUCUUAAAGAGAGGCGUCCUUGGGUUUAUAUUAUUUAACCAAAAUUGGUUAAAGUAAUAAGGUUGGCUUGAUUAAAAUUAUGUUUAUCAUAAUUGGGUCAUUUCUUAAAAUAUUGGCCUUAACAAAGAUGAUCCAUUCUUGAAAUUUGCGUUCUAGUAAAGCCAUUCUUGGGCAGAUGAUGACUAAGACUCUGUUUUUUGGGCUGAAUGAAACGGACGAUGCUUCAAUUUGAGGGAAAAAAAUAGGCCUUGCAUCAUGAAAUCAGUUUAUUAUUUAGCCACCAAAUAAGUAUAUUGAAUAGUUUGGAUUUUAUAACUAAUUAUAAGUAAUUGUGUCUUAAUUUUAGCUAUAAAAGUCUUUCACUUAACUAGUUAACUUAGAACACAUAUGAUGACUUCUUCCCUUGUCUCUAAAAUUUGUGAAAUUGGGCUCACAAAGAAGAUACUAAAGAAUAACAACCUUCAUUGGGAGCCGAGUACAAUUAUUUCAAAACAGCGCGCAUUACAUUCACAAAUCUGUCAAACUUUAUCUUCCAAUGCCCAAUAAACUACUGGUAUCCAAGUCCAAGAUUGCUCCAAAAUUCUAACCCUGCCCUUUUUCACAAAAUUUCAGUUUAGUCCAAAUGGAUUCUACACUAUGGUGCAACCACACAGUACAAAGGAAAGUUAAGGGAAAGCUUAUAAACGAGUGCAUGGUACGGUCUUAAGACUUCAGCCCAGACAUACUCUUAUGUUAUGUCAUAUGUAAAGGAAAAUAACUCAAAUUUUAGGCUCUGAAUCAUAUGUGAGUAGGCCUGCUUUUCUUUUAGUGCUUUAGUUUUUUUUUUUUGGUUAAAUUAUGGAAAUUACCACCUACUCAAUAUGGUCUUUUCUAGAGCAAUUCAUGGUAAUUAUCGAGUCUGAAACUACCAAAAAUUAGUACUGCUAAAGCUAUGUUUCAUAACCCUAAAAUACACCAAAGUCCAUACAUAUUACUAGGGGACUUUAUAUGUAAAAUUUAUAUAAACAAAAUAAGAUCUCAAAAUGAAGUACUUCAUAGGUAUGAUAAAAUUUAUAUGUUUCUAUUGAGACAAUUAAGCUGAGAAGUCUUUCACAACAAAUCUCUUUGAGGACCAGUUUCCCUCUCCUCACCAUAUCUCCUUACCUACUAACCUUCGCACGUUUUACCGUCUGUCCCAAGCCCGCCUCCCUCACACUCUCUUUUAGGAGAAUAAAAUUGUUUGAGAGCGAAAGCUCCCAUAUAUCAAAAGCCAGUGCUGUUCAAAUGUGUUUUCUCUCACCAUCUCCCACAAGAAGUGCGUGUUAAUACCAAUCACCUGAAUAAUAUGAAUAUGAGAAUGAACUCCUAAUGUCAUCACAAGAAUUGGUGGUAGUUCGGCUGGAGUAUAACAGUAAUACUUGUGGUAGUUGGGUUGGGGCAGGACAUAUGCAUAGUAGCUUUUGGUAGAUGAUAAAUAUAACACCUUUACCAUUUUUGUUAACAUGGUAUAUUUAUUCUUUUUCCUCUCUAUUCGAUAUUUGUUAAUUGUUAUACACUUAUACAUAGAUAGCAAGUGAGAAAGGGUCAGGCUAGUUUCAGAUAACGUGAAUAAUGUGGUUUACUUUCACUUAGUCACUCAUCGCACAACUCCUACUUUACUUCCUAUUUUGGUGGUAAUGUUCCCCAAACAUUACUUAUUGAGUAAUAGAUAAAAUUUAAUCAUGGCAAGAGCAUUUUUUUUUCGGACAUGAUAAAUCUACUCUACUCUAUACUAUGGGGAGGGGGUGAUCCAACGGGCCCAAGGGGAGGAUCCGGGGGGACUGAACUUGGGUGCCUACUAGUGUGAAUAAGUUAGAAAAUAUUUCUCAACACCCACUACCCUUAGGGGCUAGUAGUUGAGGCAAGGUCAAGUUAGUAUUUCACCAAGAAUUUGAUUUCUAACUACCAAGUUAAUAACUAAACAAUGUUUGUGUUUGGAUUACACAUUAUUUCCACCUUAUUUACACACACUGACUUGCUUAUAUCACCAACACAUUUUUUAAUCAUAUUUUUAUCUCACAUACAUCACAUCAAAAAAGUGUUACAGUAUUUUUUCACAAAAUUAUCUCAAAUAAGUUACUAUCCAAAUUGCUUAUGAUAAAAUAUUCCAUCUUCACCAAUUUUUUUUAGAAAGGGUUUUUCUUUGCCUUAUGACCAGAAGAAAAGAGCUCCAACCUGUUCUACCAGUAUGGAGCCAACCCCUUCGUUUCGUCAUGUCCCUAACUUAACUAGAUUGACCGGGGCACAAAGAGUUUACACUAGGGCUUCUAGUUCACAUGUUCUCUUUGCAAUCAUAGCCUUCUUGUCUCCAUCGGUUCCUUAGAAAUAGUCUUAUUGAUUUACUAGAAAUACACCCACUCAGGAAAGCCCGACUAAUCGCGGCAGGAGCCAUACUUAAAAGUAGCCGGUGGUGUUUCUAUGAUCAUAUACGUAAUUAUGGAGUAUUGAGUUAUGAGCUUGAGGGAACUCCAAUUAUUAAACAACGAGUGAAGGGACUAUCGGGUGAUAGGCCCAAACGGUAGUCUUAAUCUCCUCUUAAAGUCUAUUUAAGAGUCCUUGAAUGCACAACACUCCUAUAAAUCAUAUAAUCUAUUCCUUAUAUCUUUUACAGCUGCUUAAGGAAGUCUUUAUUCUCCCCCCGAGAGGGAUUAAGAGGGGGGGGGGGGGUAGUGGUCCAAUCUUGUCUUUUCAUUAGAGCUUUUUUUGUUUUUCUCUUAUUUAAAGUAUACCACAUUAGAGAAAGAGAAAACUCCCUCUAAAGGGCUUCUUUCUUGUAGGAUCCUAUAAGUCUCAUACUAACCCCUUAUAGCUGUAAGCUAUUAGCUCCCCUCUCCCUUUACUGGGCAGAUUAUCACUAGCCGCUGGGCGAGGGCCUCACUCUGCUAGUUUUCCACCUAGUAGGGUAUGGAGCUCUAUUCUUCAGAUUCAGUCUCCAAGGCCGCUACGAAGCUCUAGGAGGGCUUUCUAGUGUAUGCCUUGACUAUUUGAACCUCAUAAAACACAAGAAACUGAAAGAAAAAUAUUUACGCAGCGGAAUGAGCAAACAAUUUUUGCUUUUUCUUUCAUUCGAUGUUAUUGCUCGAAUCUGCAAAUUGAUACAGGCCUUGAUAUUUCAAAAACCAAUAAGUACUUACUUGUUUGGACGUGUAUGCAAUGCCCUCUGCUAGUUUUCCACCUAGUAGGGUAUGGAGCUCUAUUCUUCAGAUUCAGUCUCCAAGGCCGCUACGAAGCUCUAGGAGGGCUUUCUAGUGUAUGCCUUGACUAUUUGAACCUCAUAAAACACAAGAAACUGAAAGAAAAAUAUUUACGCAGCGGAAUGAGCAAACAAUUUUUGCUUUUUCUUUCAUUCGAUGUUAUUGCUCGAAUCUGCAAAUUGAUACAGGCCUUGAUAUUUCAAAAACCAAUAAGUACUUACUUGUUUGGACGUGUAUGCAAUGCCUGAUACAGAUGCUUGAAUUCCAGCAAUUAGCCUUCCACACGUUAGGCCUCUAGUUCGUCCACACAGACUCAAAACUAAUAGAUUGCUGAAUAUUGGAGUUUUUGUUUUGGUGGUGAUGAAAACAACGGUAGUCAACCACUUUUGUCAAUAGGGCAUAUAUAUAUAUAUUUACGAUUGUUUUUGAUUAGAUCAAUAUCAGAUCAAUAUCUUAUUUGAUCAAAUCAAAACAACCGGUUUAUAUAUAUAUUUUAUUCUUAUUUUGAUCAAAUCAAAAUAGAAUACAUCUAAUACCAUUAUUUAACUCACGUUUUAGUUUUUGAUCUUAUCAAAAUAUAAACAUAAUUAAUAUAAUUAUAUUAACUAUUAUUUUCAUCUUUAUGAUACUUGAGUCAUACUCAAAUACUAACUCCAAAUUCCGUCUAGCUUGGGUUUCAAGAUGUGCUAGCAUCCUUAUCAAAAUAAAAACCCAUUCUAAACAACUUCCCUAUUAAUUCAAAUCCUUUUGUGUGUGACUAUCUAGGUUCAUUACCCAGUUGGCAAUGCAAUAAACGUUAGCCUAUUAACAUUAGUUAGAACAUUUCUAACACUUGAGAAGUUCUCCAAAUAUACCUCAAGUUAACAUAGUUCAUGAGUGAUGCCUAGCAGCAUAUCAUGACACCCAACCGGUGAUGAAAGAUUGGAAUCCUUUUAUGUGAACCAUGAUUGCAAUUGUUUUGCAUAAAAAACCUUCCAUUACUAUAUCCCUAUUGAGUUCAGUUUAGUAAUAAUGUCAAACUCUAAAACUCAAUCGUAUGUCUUAAUCUAUCAAAUUACUUGACUAUAAAAUUGAUCAUCUACAUGAAUCAAUUUGUCUUGGCCAAGAACUCCUUUAGUCAAGAUCGAUAGAUUUCAUAAGAUAUCAAACCAUUCAUGAUGGAAUAAUAGAUCCCUUUUGCAUAAUCACUUGGCUCCAUGCAUAACUAAUUAGAGGUACCAUAUGCUAAUACUCAUCCGUGAUUAGAACAAGUAUUUUCAGCAUUGAUAGACUUUAACCACCCAUGAAUGAGCCAAUCGUGUUAUCUCAGGUCUAAGGAUCACAUGCACCAUUGCAAUCAAUAAUGAAUCAUUGACAUUAAUAAGCUAAUGAUUCAUUAUUUAAUUAGUCAGUGUUCAAGCCAACUUGUCACACAAGUGCCUCUCAUAUUUAUUCUAGUAUCACAUACUUAAUGGUAUGAGACUCGCCAUUCUAUUAUCAUUAAUAUCCCAUAUUAAUCAUAGAGGAUAAAUAUGAGACUAAUCUUCCGGAUUAAACUUGCCCAAUUAAUAAUCCUAUGAUUAGGAACAAUUUAAUAUUAUUUGUACCAAGUUUUUCCGUUACUCAUAUUCUCAUCACAUGAGAAUGGAACCUUAACAAAUAAUAAGGGACAACAUUCAAUCAAAUCUAAACCAAGAAUAAUUGAAUCAAGAAGUGCCAUUUUAUUUUAAUCAAGACAAUAAUUAUUAAUACUCUAGGGCAUACUGCUAACAGGCUCCCACUUGCACUAGAGCCAUUCAAUACAAUAUUUGAGUCCCAUCUUCUCAAGAUGGUGAUCUAACUGUCGUUGUGUCAUGGCCUUAGUAAGCGGAUCAGCUACGUUAUCAGCUGAAGCUAUCUUGUGCACGGUGACAUCACCUCUUCCGAUUAUCUCUCGGAUAAUAUGGAAACGACGCUCAAUAUGUUUGGACUUCUGGUGAGACCUCGGUUCCUUAGCCUGAGCUAUUGCACCAUUAUUGUCACAGUAGAGAGGUACCGGCAAUUCAAUGGUAGGAACCACUCCUAGUUCUGUGACAAACUUUCUCAUCCAAACAGCUUCCUUUGCUGCAUUUGAUGCAGCAAUGUACUCAGCUUCCGUAGUAGAAUCAGCAGUCGUAUCUUGUUUGGAACUUUUCCAACUCACUGCUCCUCCAUUACAGAGAAAAAUGAACCCAGAGAUAGAUUUUCUAUCAUCUACAUCUGAUUGAAAAUCAGAAUCUGUAAAACCAUCUAGUCUUAAAUCACCUCCUCCGUAAGUCAAGAUCAUAUCUUUAGUCCUUCUUAAGUACUUAAAGAUUGCCUUGACUGCACCCCAGUGUUCUAAACCUGGAUUAGACUGAAACCUGCUAGUAACACUAACAGCGUAAGCUAUGUCUGGUCUUGUACACAACAUUGCAUACAUUAGACUUCCAAUUGCCGAAGCAUAUGGAAUCUUAGCCAUUCUUUCUCUAUCUUCAGAUGUCUGAGGUGACAUCUUUUUCGAUAGGUGAAUGCCAUGUCUAGCAGGUAACAGUCCUUUCUUAGAUUCAAGCAUAUUGAAUUUUUUCAAUAUCUUGUUUAUAUAAAGACUUUGGGAUAACCCUAUAGUUCUUUUCGCUCUAUCUCUAUAGAUACGAAUUCCUAGAAUAUAGGUCGCUUCUCCCAAAUCCUUCAUAGAGAAGGUGCUUGAUAACCAUAAUUUUACAGAACUAAGCAUCCCUAUGUCAUUGCCCAAUAAUAAGAUGUCGUCAACAUACAAAAUUAGGAAAGUGACUGCACUCCCACUGACCCUUUUGUAAACACACGGUUCAUCCUCAUUUCUAAUGAAACCAAACGUUUUGAUUGCAUCAUCAAAUCGGAUAUUCCAAUUCCUCGAAGCUUGCUUAAGACCAUAGAUGGAUCUCUUAAGCUUGCACACUUUAUGUUGCUCACCCUCAGAUACAAAACCUUUGGGCUGAUCCAUAUAAACGUUUUCCUCAAUGUAACCAUUAAGAAAAGCUGUCUUGACGUCCAUCUGCCAGAUUUCAUAGUCAAGGUACGCUGCUAUGGCUAAUAGAAUCCUAAUAGAUUUGAGCAUGGCUACAGGCGAGAAAGUCUCCUCAUAGUCUAUUCCCUGCCUUUGGCGAUACCCUUUCGCCACUAGCCUAGCUUUGAAGGUUUCGACCUUGCCAUCAGAACCAAUCUUUCUCUUAUAGACCCAUUUGUUCCCUAUAGGUAUUAUACCUUCGGGUGGCUCCACAAGUUCCCAGACUUGGUUUGUGUACAUCGAAUCCAUUUCAGAUUUCAUAGCUUCUAGCCAUUUUGAGGAAUCUAUAUCAGAUAUAGCUUCUUCGUAAGUAGUAGGAUCAUCUGUAUGAUCAGUGUCUCCAUGUAUGAACAAUUCUUGCAUAUUCUCAUGGAGAUACCCGUACCUUUGAGUAGGACGAGACACUCUACUAGAUCGUCGAGGCUCUUGUGUUGUGACAUUGUUAUCAAUGGACAUUGGCUCUUUACCAGGCACAUCAUUCCUUUCCUGAUCAUUUUGUUGCUCAUGUGAAAUUUCAUUAAGCUCUAUCCUCCUUCCAGCAGCACCUUCUUGAAUAAAUUCUUUUUCAAGGAAGGUAGCAUUUCUACUGAUGACAACAAUUUGUUCAUCUGGAAGAUAAAAUUGAUAUCCAAUACAAUCCUUUGGAUAUCCAACAAAAUGACCUUUGACAGAUCUUGAUUCCAACUUGUCUGUCUUUAGUUUCCUGAUAUGAGCAGGACAACCAAAAAUUUUAACAUGAUUAAGGCUUGGCUUUCUUCCAGUCCACAUCUCAUAUGGAGUGGUAGGGACGGACUUAGAUGGUACUCUAUUGAGUAUAUAACAUGCUGUAAGAAGUGCAUAAUUCCAAAAUGAAAUAGGGAUAUCAGUAUAGCUCAUCAUGGAGCGAACCAUGUCCAUAUAGGUACGGUUCCUCCUUUCAGAUACGCCAUUCAAUUGUGGCGUUCUUGGAGGAGUAAGUUGAGAAAUAAUACCUUGAUCUUUAAGGUAUUCCCUGAACCCAGUGUCUAAGUAUUCACCUCCUCGAUCUGAUCGGAGAGUUUUAAUACUCUUACCAAGCUGAUUUUCUACUUCAGCCUUGAACUCUUUGAAUUUUUCAAAGCAUUCAUGCUUGUACUUCAUUAAGUACACAUAACCAUACCGAGAGUAAUCAUCAGUAAAAGUUAUGAAGUAAAUAAAUCCUCCUCUAGCCACUUUGGCAAAUGGCCCACAUACAUCACUAUGUAUGAUUUCUAGAACAUCACUGGCUCUUAUACUUUGUCCCACAAAAGGCAACCGAGUCAUUUUGCCUUGAAUACAAGGUUCACAAGUUGGAUAGGGUUCAGAACCCAUGGGUUUGAGUAAUCCCAUUUUCUCCAUCUUUGAAAUUCUGUCUCCUGCGAUGUGACCCAGUCUAAGAUGCCAAAGAUGUUUUUGAUUGAGGUUAAGUUUAGUCACUACGUUUAAAUUCUCAAACUUAGUUCCAUCUUUAUCAUCAGACAUGUGGUAUAAACCAUUUUUCUUGUAUGCCAAACCAAUACAAUCAGUAUUGUAAUAAAUCCUACAAAUAUUGCCUUUGAAUAAAAAUUCAUAUCCCACAUCAGUCAAAACCGAAAUAGAAAUAAUAUUCGUAAAAGUGUUUGGCAGACAUAAAACAUUGUUUAGGAAUAAAACAUGUCCUGAAGAUAAAGCUAAAGAAGUAGAUCCUAUAGCAGUAGCAGCAACUGUUGCUCCAUUUCCGACCUUUAGGAUCACCUCGUCCUUCCCAAGGACUCUACUUUUGGUUAGUUCCUGCAAAGAUGCACAAACAUGAUAUGAUGCACCUGAGUCAAGAACCCAAGAAGUAGAAUGAGAGCUAACUGUACACAGAGGAUUGAGGAAACAUGAAAUGGUACUACCUUCAUUUGUCUUUCCUUUUCCCUUGUCCUUUAUCGACUCAAGGUACUUAGGACAAUUCCUCUUCCAAUGUCCUUCCAUUUGGCAGUGGAAACAUUUUGCACCAACCUUGAAGUUGCCCUUCUUUUUAGAGAUACCUCCUGUAGGCUUAGGAUGAGAAGAUUUAAUUGAUUUCUUCUUCUUCUUUUUGGACUCUCCAGAAGAAGAAGCAAUCAUUAAAGCCGCUUCCUUUCCGUUUCCUUUCAUCGUAGACUGAGCAGUAACAAGAUGGUUAUGAAGUUCUGAAAGCGAUACCUCAAUCUUGUUCAAGUGAAAAUUUACAAUGAAUUGGGCAAAGGAAUCUGGUAGAGACUGCAAAAUCAAGUCUGUCUGAAGGUGAGCAUCCAUGGAAAAAUCCAAGUUUUCAAGACGCUCAAUCAUAUUGAUCAUCUUGAGAACAUGAACUGACGCAUCAGCUCCUUCAGUCAGACGAGUCCUAAACAACUCCUUAGAUAUCUCAUAUCGGGCAGUUCUGGAUUGUUCACCAUACAAUUCUUGUAGGUGAAGCAAAAUAUCUUUUGCGGUCCCCAUCUUUUCAUGCUGCCUUUGCAAUUCAUUGUUCAUAGACGCUAGCAUGUAGCACCUAGUUUGCAUGUCAUCCUCCUCCCACUUUCUAAAAGUGGUUUGUUGCGGCUCAGUCGCCCCUUCAGGCAAGGGAUUAGGAACUGGAGUCUCUAAAAUAUAUCCAAUUUUUUCGGAAUUAAGAACAAUUCUUAGAUUCCUCAGCCAAUCAGUGAAAUUGGGCCCAGUGAGUGUAUUUUUUUCAAGGAUAGUUGAGAGAGGGUUCAUGGGUGCCAUAAUAUCCAAAUAUUAGAAACUGCAGAAGAUAAUAAAAUUGAUUAGCAAUUAUCCUGAUAGAUCCAAUUUGUUUUUGGCCUUUAAAACAAACUGGUCCUCCCACUAAAUUUUUCGAAUGUCAUACUUCCAAAAUGAUAAACAGAAAUCUUUAAAUGAUCUCUAGUGGGAGAUGGGAUUCUUAUAAAAUGUUUAAUAUACCUCAGGUGAUCCCUAUAUUGGUAUAAUAAUAUUUUGUAAGUGACAACUCUUUGUCAAUACAUCUCAUGUAUACCCCAACCGAGACUUGGCUCCUAAUACUUAAGACCUCAGGCGUAUCCAAUCUUGGUCCAUCAUAUUAGUUAAAUUAAAUCCACUAGACAGUAGGCAAGAUAAUUUGAAUAUUAAUUACCUCAGGCGUUUCCUAUCUUGAUAAUUAAUAUAUUAUCCUACCCACAACAUCACAUGCUUUAUAAAAUCUACAAGAAUAUCCCUUACAUCUUUAUACUACCCCAUGUGUCCACAGCCAAUAGUACAAAUUGUAAAAUAUUCUGUAGAUCUUAAUCCAGUGGAGGGCCAUGAUACAAUAUCAUAAAGUAGGUGGAUUUUCUGGUCUAAUUAUUUCGAGGUAACACUGUGUUCAUCAAAAUCCUUUUGAUGAACGUGCAUCACAUACAUAUGUCAAAAGCGAAUAAAUAAACUCAGAUAAUCAUGGAUAACAACAACCAAAAAAAAAACAACUGAAUUAGUCUUCCUGAGCCCAUGAUUAUCCUUCAUGCCAUGUAUCAAAAAUGAAAAAUUAAAUAUUUCAUAUUAAAUAAGGAAUGCUAACAUUUAUUGAAACUAUUCCAUUUAAUGCUAACCGUUUUAAUUUCAUUGCCUUUCAAAAUUAAAUCACUAACAUUUAGAUAAUUAAUUUUGAACAAAAGAUUGCUUUCAAUAAUUAAGAUUCUUAACGUUUUAAGAAUACUUAAUUAUUAGAAGGAAACCUUUUGAAAUAUAAUCUUAACCCAUUUAAGAUAAGUCCGAAACUGAAACAAUAUGAAGCCUUUGUUUAGCACCAUGGCCGAGACAGCAACUAUUGCAAUCAGCCUUCCAAUGAAACAAAUAUAAUCAAUUGCAAAUUCGAAGCAAGGUGGCUCUGAUACCACUGAAAGAAAAAUAUUUACGCAGCGGAAUGAGCAAACAAUUUUUGCUUUUUCUUUCAUUCGAUGUUAUUGCUCGAAUCUGCAAAUUGAUACAGGCCUUGAUAUUUCAAAAACCAAUAAGUACUUACUUGUUUGGACGUGUAUGCAAUGCCUGAUACAGAUGCUUGAAUUCCAGCAAUUAGCCUUCCACACGUUAGGCCUCUAGUUCGUCCACACAGACUCAAAACUAAUAGAUUGCUGAAUAUUGGAGUUUUUGUUUUGGUGGUGAUGAAAACAACGGUAGUCAACCACUUUUGUCAAUAGGGCAUAUAUAUAUAUAUUUACGAUUGUUUUUGAUUAGAUCAAUAUCAGAUCAAUAUCUUAUUUGAUCAAAUCAAAACAACCGGUUUAUAUAUAUAUUUUAUUCUUAUUUUGAUCAAAUCAAAAUAGAAUACAUCUAAUACCAUUAUUUAACUCACGUUUUAGUUUUUGAUCUUAUCAAAAUAUAAACAUAAUUAAUAUAAUUAUAUUAACUAUUAUUUUCAUCUUUAUGAUACUUGAGUCAUACUCAAAUACUAACUCCAAAUUCCGUCUAGCUUGGGUUUCAAGAUGUGCUAGCAUCCUUAUCAAAAUAAAAACCCAUUCUAAACAACUUCCCUAUUAAUUCAAAUCCUUUUGUGUGUGACUAUCUAGGUUCAUUACCCAGUUGGCAAUGCAAUAAACGUUAGCCUAUUAACAUUAGUUAGAACAUUUCUAACACUUGAGAAGUUCUCCAAAUAUACCUCAAGUUAACAUAGUUCAUGAGUGAUGCCUAGCAGCAUAUCAUGACACCCAACCGGUGAUGAAAGAUUGGAAUCCUUUUAUGUGAACCAUGAUUGCAAUUGUUUUGCAUAAAAAACCUUCCAUUACUAUAUCCCUAUUGAGUUCAGUUUAGUAAUAAUGUCAAACUCUAAAACUCAAUCGUAUGUCUUAAUCUAUCAAAUUACUUGACUAUAAAAUUGAUCAUCUACAUGAAUCAAUUUGUCUUGGCCAAGAACUCCUUUAGUCAAGAUCGAUAGAUUUCAUAAGAUAUCAAACCAUUCAUGAUGGAAUAAUAGAUCCCUUUUGCAUAAUCACUUGGCUCCAUGCAUAACUAAUUAGAGGUACCAUAUGCUAAUACUCAUCCGUGAUUAGAACAAGUAUUUUCAGCAUUGAUAGACUUUAACCACCCAUGAAUGAGCCAAUCGUGUUAUCUCAGGUCUAAGGAUCACAUGCACCAUUGCAAUCAAUAAUGAAUCAUUGACAUUAAUAAGCUAAUGAUUCAUUAUUUAAUUAGUCAGUGUUCAAGCCAACUUGUCACACAAGUGCCUCUCAUAUUUAUUCUAGUAUCACAUACUUAAUGGUAUGAGACUCGCCAUUCUAUUAUCAUUAAUAUCCCAUAUUAAUCAUAGAGGAUAAAUAUGAGACUAAUCUUCCGGAUUAAACUUGCCCAAUUAAUAAUCCUAUGAUUAGGAACAAUUUAAUAUUAUUUGUACCAAGUUUUUCCGUUACUCAUAUUCUCAUCACAUGAGAAUGGAACCUUAACAAAUAAUAAGGGACAACAUUCAAUCAAAUCUAAACCAAGAAUAAUUGAAUCAAGAAGUGCCAUUUUAUUUUAAUCAAGACAAUAAUUAUUAAUGCUCUAGGGCAUACUGCUAACAGAAAUAACAAGAAGCAAGCGAAAGAAGGAAUCCUUGGGUAAGAAUUCCGAUUGAAGCAAUAAGGAAAGUGCGGCUUUUGUUCACCUAUCAUUCUCCGAUGCGACCAAGCAACUCCCUUAGAAUAUCUUCCCUUCGAACAGCGCGACCCGCCUAUUCAACUACAAUAUGAAUUCCUCUUGCCGUUGUUGCUCUUCUUGCCCCUUUAGUGGUGAUCCUUGGAUGAGGAGCAUAAACGAGCCUUAAGAGUGCAUUAGGAGGUCUUGUUGCCUGUGCUCAAGACAUAUUUUAACACAACUACAUUCCACCCAACCUGCUAUGUAUAUACACACACUAGUAAUUACUAUUUUUUCCUACAUUUAUACACUUUUCCUAAUUAAUCUCUUUGCAUUUAUAAUCUUUUCCUAAUUAAUCUUAUAUUUUUAAAAAUCUAACACGUGAAAUACAUCUUAACAAAUAUCUUAUAUAUACCCAUUAGAUAGACCAUUUUAGAAAAAUAUCUUUGUUAGAAAUAUUGGCGGGUUUCAAACUAACUAUCUAAUGUAUCCUUAAUUUAUUCUAAUUGAUCCUUCAUGAUGAUAUAUAUAAACACCCACCCACCGCCCCCCCCCCCCUUCUCCCGGGUUCCUCCUCAAAGUCAAGGCAGUUGCGAAGAAACCAUUUUGAGUUUGUCAAGAAGAUCAUUGAAACGGUUGGGAGGAAGAGGUUUGGUGAAGAUAUCUGCAAGUUGAUCCAUAGAAGAUACAGAGUGGAUGAUCUCGCCGGGGCACUUUACGGGAUAUAGCACAGCAGAUCUAGAGAAAGGUUUACUCAUCUGCAGCACCACAAUGUUUUCUUCUUGACUAUUAUCCUGACGCUGCUAUCAGAACUGGCCUCUUUCAUUAUGUGUGGGUACAAUUUUACAACAAUCCGCCUUGUCAAUGUAGUGCUGGCAAUACCAAUAACUUCUUCGACAGUUGGAAUCCAGGGGCUUCAUAUACAGGCGUUAAUACAUUAUUCCUGGGAUUACCUGCAGCCCCUGAGGCAGCACCUAGUGGCAGCUACAUCACACCUCAAGAGCUAAUUGAUCAAGUUCUACCCUUUGUCGAGAGCUAUUCCAACCACAGAGAGCUCAUGCUUUGGAGCAAAUACUUUGAAGCUAAUUGCAAUGAAAUAAUCAGGCCUUAUGUUAACUCUGAUGUCCUGGUUCAUGGCAAAAAGUCCACGAUAAAGUCCCAUGCUCUCGAAUAAUUGAGUUGCUCUCAUUAACACUUGAUGGAUGAAAUGCAGUCCUGGUUGUUUUUGCCAUAUAGAUAAAUAAUGGGUAAUAAGUUCCCCAGCUAUGGAGGCGUCAGAUACUGGGAUGUGUCUAUUACAGUCCAGCAAUCGAGCCUUAUGUUAAACCAUGAAAACUCUGACCAGUGAUAACAAGGCCAUGGGAGUCUUCUGCCACUGAAUAAGUUCCUCUGAUCACUAUUUCAUGAGAGAUGAAAUGUAAUCCUGGUUGUUUAUGCUAGAGAUAGAUGUGAUAAAUAAAUAACGGGUUAUGAUCCCCAAGUUUAAUUGCGUAUUCUCUUGAUUUAACGGUUAGAAAAUCCGCAAAAAUCACAAAUUACUGAAUACUAGUUUGGACAACCAUGCCAGUUGCACCUCCAUUUUGCAAUGUAUAUCUCUUAAAAUUGGGAAGUAAUUACAUUUUCGGUUUGCAACUCCAUUAAAAUUUGACCAAACGAACCUGUGGUUUGAUCAAAUUAUCCCCUUAUGAGUUAUGGCUUCCAAAACCAACUAACGGAAGUGGAGAAAUGUUAGAACUACCAUCUACAGAAGAUUACAUUUAUCUCCCUUGAAAUUUAUCUAAAUAAAAAAAAGGGUCAUUAAAAUGUGAACCGAAUGCAAUUUAACCCUUAAAAUAGCCAACUGUUUAUAAAAAUAAAAAUCCCUUAAUAUUAUCAAAAGAAUAAAACCCAAAUUAAGAUAAAAUUAUCAAUUACUAUCUUCCAAGAAAUGAAAAAUGAAAGGAAAAAAAUUGAGAAAAUGUCUUUCUUUCUCGUCUUUAUCUACAUAUGGCUUAUUUUAGCCACUAAAAAACACUCUCUCUCCUUUUAACAAUUAUGCAUUUCAUUUGCAUAUCCAAUUAGGAAGAUACUAAUAUUAAGUUUAAAUAAAACUCUCGUUAAGCCAGAAAACCUUCGCUUGGCCCAUUCGAUAAUAAAUUCUUGUCCUUUAUUCCAGACAAGUGCCUUUAUUAGAUUUUCACUUUUGAUUUUCAAUUUGGUGUCUUUACGAAAGAAAAAUCCUAAAUUUUCAUGCUUAGAGAUGUAUGCAAAUUUAACAGUUUAUUUUAUGUUUUAGGAAACAAAGUUUUAUUAUUUGCGCAUGGAAGUCAAAAACGAUAUUUGAUAUCAAUUAUGUAAUAGUGGUGGUCAAGGAAACUGCAUCGACUGAAACACUUUUGUUAGUGAUGCCACGUGAUUAGAGUUUCAAUUACACUAAUUUUAAGAUGAAAGAAUCAUUGGAAAAAUAUAUAGUAAUUAAUGGGUAUUUUUAUAAACUCAAAAAUUCUGAUGUGAUUAAGUAUUAGCAAAUAUUUCUUUAAUAAAUGUUUGCGAGAAUUGCAGUUUUGGUCUCUAAUGUUUGGCGUGUGUACCAAAUUAGUCCUCAAUGUUUUAGCUAAAACAAAUCUAGUCCCAAAAAUUUGUGAUUUUCGGUAGAUUUAGGACAAUAAAUGGAAAUGAAACAAUGGCUAACAGUCAAUAUCAAAUUACUGUUAGUCAACAAGUUUAACCUUUUGAUUCCCAAUGUUUUGAUUUUGAAUCAUUAUAUUUUUCUAAUUUUUUAAAUAUUGGUAUUAAGGGUUUUGGCAUGAAUUGAGAUGCAAAUUAGAAUGAAAUAGUAUUAAAUAUGUAAUAAUAAUUUUAAUUAAAAAUAUAUUACUUCUUUUUUAAUAUUUAUUUCAUUUAUUCAUGCUAAUAAUUAUAUAUAAUUGUUUCUCGCUUGAAUAAUUAAUUUAUAAUGAGUUUUAUUAUUUUUAUUUCUAAUAACAAUUAAACAACUUUAUUAAAUAUUCCUUUAAAACACAAGAAAUAUAUUUUUUGUAAAAUAAGUUGAUCUUUUUUGGCAUUUUAAUAGGUUAUCAAUUGAGUUUGAAAUAAAGUUGACAUUUUAUACACGUUAUAUGAACCACUAGAUGAUUGUCAAGAUACAUAGAUACUAAAAUAAAUGAUUUAAAACUACAAUAUUGAAAUGUUAGAUUUUAAUGGUAGUAAAGAAAAUAAAAAUAAAAGAUAAUUUUCUUAGGAUUUGCUAAAAUUAUUUAAUAUUGAUGCUUAACUUUACUAGUUUUUAUAAAUACAACGGAUAACUCUAAGAAUUUGAAGCAUACAUGCACAAGACAUGCAACAAUUUUUGUAGUAAUAACUAUAAUAAAUUUAGAUUAUAAAACUGAAAUUCUCCUUUUCUUCCUCUACUUUAUGUUUUAUUUAUUAUUGGUAUAUUAUCAUCCAAUUAAAUUUAUUUAAUAAAGAUAGGCAAUUAUCAACUUAUGCCAUUAUGAUUUGUUUCAAUUAAUAGUGAGAAAUAAUAUAUAUACAUAUAUUAUACAAGAUUUGAGACUAGAAAUGCAAAAAAAAAAAACAUAUGAGAUAUUAUUAGUAUGAAUAAAUGAAAUAAAAAUAAAAGGGAAGGAAAAAAAGUUUAAUUAGAAUUUUUGUUACCCAUUUAAUACUAUUUCAUUCUAAUUUGCAUCUCAAUUCAUACUAAAAUUCUUAAUAUCAUUAUUUAAAAAUUAGAAAAAUAUAAUCAUUCAAAGUCAAAAUACUAAGGACCAAAAGUGCAAAGUCAAAGUUGUUGACUAAUGACAAUUUGAUAUUGAUCGUUAGUCAUUGUUCUAUUUCCAUUAGUUAUGCUAAAUCUAACUAAAAUCGCACACUUUCGGGACAGAAUUUGUUUUGGCCAAAACAUGCAUUAGGGACAAAUUUGGCAUACAAGCAAAACAUUAGGGACCAAAAUUAUAAUUCUCCAUAAAUGUUUGGCUAGUAAAACAUUGGAUUGAUUUGGAAAAACUAAAGGGUUCAUUUUUGUUAUUUGGACAAACUUCAAGAGAGGCAAAUGCAAUUUGAACAAACUUUAGGAUAGGUAAGUGCAAUUAACUCAAUUUACAAAAGGUUAGUUUGGGGGCUUUUAGACAUAUAUUUUAGUGAUGCAAGCAUCAUUUCAAUCAACAAUUAGCGUGAGGGGCGCAAUUGAUAAACAUUUUGUCAGUCAGGGGAUUUGACUAUAAUCUGGUCAAACUGCAAGAUAAAUUUUGUACUUUGACACCUCGAGAAAGUAGGUGUAAUUAACCUUAAAAAAACCGAGUGUUCUUAUUGUCCGAAUAUUAUCCAAAUGAGAUAGCACUAUCUCAAGAAAAAUACAUGUAUCCAUUCUUAUACCUUCACCUAUGUAUCCACUUUUGACUUAUAAUUAAAGGUAACAUGGCUUGUUUUAACCUAUUGAUUGUACCCUCCACCUAUCUCUCUCUUUUCAUUUCUUUCUGUUUCUCUUCUUCCAACCAACCUCUCCAAUCCUUCUUUCAGCCCACCCAAGUUCUCAUGAUGAACACUCUUCCCAUGCACCAUGCCUCUACCCUAAUCCAAAUAUUUACAAGUAGUGGCAGAACCAGAAUCCUAGACUCAGCAAGGCCAAAUUAGAUUAGCAUAAAAAUUGAAGUAUUAAUAGAGUUUGAAAUCAAAAAACACUUCUAUCUUAAAAGUUCAUUUUUUCUAUGUUAAAUACACUUUUAAAAAUAAUUUGCGUUAAAUUUUGCAAUGAAAAUUACAUUUAAAUUUACAUCUAUAUUUAACUUUUGGUAGGUUUAAUACUCUUGUGAAGGAUAACAAUUAUGGAAUUUUAAUUAUUUAGGGGGCAAUGUAUGAUAGUAAAGAGAAUUCUAAAAAUUUUAGGGAGGACAAAUAAGAAACAAUUUUGAAAAUUUCUAAACAUAAAAUAUAAUUUUCUCAAAAAUUGCACCCCCUCAGCAGUAUGUGGCUUUGCCAUUGUUUAAUUACAAGCUUUCCUUCCUCCCUAUUUUCCUAUAUUGUGUUUACAUUUUUGAAGUACUUGUAUAUUUCAUAUAUAUCACAUUGCAAAAACUACAACAUUAUAAUUCUAAAAAAAUUUAAACUAUAUGUUUCCAAACGCAGCCUUGACUUUUAGUUAUUGAGUCUUAGUUUGAAUAUGAAGUCAACAGUUUCACUUUGUCUCAACGCACCUAUAGGAUUUAAGUAUAGGUUUUGAAACCGUAGGAGACUUUUGUGUCUUGUCCAUGAACAACAGGAGGAUAAAGUUAAUUCACCUCUUUUUUUUAAAAAAAAGAUAGAAGACUAUGCUAAUAUUUAUAUUUUUAUUGUGAGUCAGGGUAUUUUUCAAAGAUAAUUUUAUUUAAUUGGGUUAACAUUUCUAGGCAUUGAGAAGGGUUAAGAAAUCAUAAAAUUGUAAGUUAAUUGUAAAAAAUAAUAGUAGGAAUGAAAUGCCAAAAAUGACUAUAGUUUAGCCAAACCACAAGGUAGAUUUUGUAAUUUGACCAAACCUCGCGGGUAGAUUUUUUUUUUUUGGGAUAAAUCAGGGGUAGAUUUUAUUGUCCGACUAUUAUAAUUUAUAAUGGACCAGAGUAGAGAUUAGUUGUUACAUUUCCAACUUUUUUGCAUGGUCACACAUUUCCGACUAUUAUAACCUCAGGUGUUUUUUUUUCCUUUCUCAUUUUGGAUUAAUCUUCAAUAGAGGAAACAACUUUCUGGCUUGAUAAAUAUGUUAUGAAAAUAGAUUUUUUAAAUUAAAUAGGGACUACUUGUCCUGUAUUCAGAUAUGCCAUUGUAAUAGAACUUUGGUAUACUUAGAUAGUAUAUUAUUUAGGAUAAUUUUUUGACAAAAAUAUUGUGUUGACCUUGGUCGAUCAAUCCUUGGUUUUGAUGAUUAACAAACCAAAAUAUAGAUUUGGGCUAAUGUUUUUAUGUGAGUAAUUUGUUAGAAUAGAUUCUUGUGGCAUAAAAGAAGAAGCAAAAACAGGGCACUCAUGUCGGACGCUAUCGGAUGUCCGAAAGGAUGAAGAACAUCAAGAAGGAAACUCUGUCGGACGCUCAUGAGGAAGCAUGGGACGUCCGGAAGGAUCGGACGCACGCCUCGGACGCACAUCGAUCGCAUCGGACGUCCGAGAAAUUUCGCAAAGAUUUGAUGACUCUCUGACGACGUUCGGACGCAGGGUUCGGACGUCCGACAGGUGGUUUGGACGCAGGGUUCGGACGUUCGACAGGUGGUUCGGACGUCCGACAGACCAACGGCUAGUUUUGACAGCAUUUAAUAUUUGACCGUUGGAGAGCCUUUUGGAGUCAUUUCUCACCUUCUAUAAAAACCCCAAAGCACAAGAAGACAAGAGACUUUUGCCAACACAAAAUACAAGCUUACAAGUGAGAUUUUUGAGUAGAAAGAUUCUUUGUUGGUUGUAUAAGGUUGGGAAAGUUGGGUUGUGAGGUUGCUCAAGUGAAGGUUACUCUCUAGGAGGAGUAAAACCUUGGUGAAGAUAAACCUAUCACUUGGAGUGGUAAAACCUUGGUGAAGGUUGCCUCAUGUGUAUAAAAUAGUUCUUAAUUGGGUGAGUGAUCUUUCAAGUGUAGGUUGUUGAGGGUUAACUAGUAUAGUUGUAAAACUCCUUGGCUCAACCAAAGAGUGUUUGGGGUGAGGAAGGAGUGAGCCUUCACUUGUACAUCUUGGUUAGCAUCGCCAUCUAUUGAAGAGGCUAUUGGAUUGAUAUUUGGUUUGCAUUUUUUAUCUUUUCUCUUUAAUUAAGUUUUCUUUAUUGUGCUUAAAUUUGAUAUAUCUUUGUGUAUCAUUGUGAAUUUGUUUGUACUCAUUGGGUUGCACCGGGCACUUACAUAUUGUGAUAAUUUUUUGACAAAAAUAUUGUAAAAAGAUGAUUGAAAAAUGAUAAUUUUUUUGAUAUGAUAUAUGUCAGAUAAAAAGAUGAUUGAAAAAUUUGUUGAUGAUACAAACAAAUACAAUUUGACAAAUAAUCUACUAUCCAAACAAAGACUAGAUUUUCUAUGUGCAAAUAUGCUAGGGUAACCGAUUCACAACGCAUUUGAUAAAGCGGUUAUUGAGCACAUUUUGCACUAUUAUUCUGCCCUAAUUUUGGCUACUCAUGGUGCUAAGAAUUGGGAAUUUGCUCAUAUUUGAUAUUUGUGUAAAUUGUAGGUGGUUGCUGUUAAAAGUAAUCUUUUGAGGCAAUUUCCAGAAGACCCUUUAUUUUAGGACGUGCCCACGCCAGAAAUUAUAGAGGGCUACCCAAAAACCGGACCCGCGAGCUUGGUAACAGUAGGAUAACCAAUUAAGGAACUAGGUCCGCGUGGACCAGAUGCGUGGGAUUAGAACCCUUAGACAAAGCUUGCUCCUGAUUUGACUCCUACGGGCGGCGCUACAAAUAAGAAAACAAGCUAGAUUCGCGGGGAAUCAUCUACCUUAGCUUUAAUUUUCCUUUUUUCACAUCUGUCAGACAUCAAAGAAUUUUUCCUUGUUUUUUUUGGCUUUUACGUUUUGACUCUUUUGCUUUUGCUUUGGAUCUGUACAAUUUUCAUUGGCUUUGGCAUUGAACUUUCGGAUCCAGUACGGACUCCAAUGCAGAGACAAGCAAGACUUUUCACUUUUUCUUUCUUUGUUAUUUCAUCGGUCCAGAUUCUUUGAUGUUUGUGUGGAUGAAAUCAAUUAAAUUGCGCGAGAUUGAUAUGACGAGGAGCGGCUAAAUUCCCCUUCUACCCAAGGGUUAACGCGAAGGCGCGGUCCAUAACAUCUGUGAGAUCUAAUCGAAUUUUCACUAUUUCGUCCAAUUCGUUACUAUUUAUGUGUUUCCUGAAUUAAUUGUUCAUGGGUAUUUUAUUAAUUGGGUAUCAGCGGCCGGAUAUUUAAUUUAAUAUAAUAGCCUAUUGGUACAUUAAUUAAAUUGAAUCCGUAAUUGUUCGUUUAGUUGACAAAUAGUGACAACCACCAUAAUUGGUUUUAUGUUGGAGAAACACAAGAUCUAAUUUAAAUAAACUCUCUUAGCGUGUUUAUUGGUUAGGGUUGGGUUUUUCUAGUUUUAAUGCAACUGGAUAACUAAAUUCCUACGGUCGUACCUAGGGUUGUUUUCUGGUUAGAGAAGCAGUCAAUGAUCGUAGUUUGACUGUCGAAAAAGUAAGGAAGAACUGGUUGUCAGAUCUUAUUGAUAACUAUAACCAACCUAGUGACGGAUGGAUGAAAUAUCUUUGCAUCGAUGAUCAUUUAAUUGGACCGUGCCUGAAAACUUGAUUCUUUGGGUAGAAUUUUAUUAAUUGCUAUUUUUAGUAAAUUGUACUUGUGGAGUUAUCUUUUGAAUUUUAUUUAUUUUAUUUUCGUUUCCAUCCCAUUAAUUAUCCCCUAAUUUUAUUCUAUUGAUUUAAAAAGAAACAACUUCCUACCCGUUCCCUGUGGAAUCGACCCUACUUGCCAUUGUACGCAAAAUUAAUAUUUUUAUAGACAAUUCAGGUAUAUCGGACCAAGCAAACUCUUCGGGAAUAGGGUAAAUCAAGUAAUCCAUUACACAUUUAGGGUCCCUACUCUAGUAUUUGGAUUUGUUCUAUAAUUAAUUGUGAUGGUAAUUAGGACUUUUUAGUAAUUAUUAUUGCACAGGUUCGGUAUCUGUCAAUUUUUGGCGCCGUUGCCGAGGAACGGUAUUUUGAUUAAUUUUGUUUCUUUCUAAGUUAUUUUCUUUGGAUUUGUCUGACAUUUUUCUAGUUUAUGCCUCGUUCUUCUCAUACAGGAGAAUUGAUUUUCGAUCCGGAAGUAGAGAAGACUUCGUGUCAAACUAGAAAAUAGACUAGGCAACUCAGAGAGGAGCAAUCGAGCACUGCAUCUCAGGAACUGGAUCCUGAGAUUGAAUCAGCAGAUUCGAGUGGUGAAAAUUCAAGUGACCCAGGCCAAGAAGACAUCCCUAUGGCGAAUGCAAGAACACUAAGGGAGUUGGCUGCUCCGGAAUUGCCCCAGCAGCCGCUGUGCAUCACAUUUCCAACUCUAGCUGAAAAUGCCUCAUUCGAACUAAAGUCGGAGUUGAUUCACCUUUUGCCCACAUUCCAUGGCCUUUCGGGGGAGGAACCCCAUAAACACAUUCAAAAGUUCAAUGUGGUAUGCUCCAGUAUAAAGUCUCCAGAAAUUACUGAGGAGCAGAUCAAACUUAGAGCCUUCCCAUUCUCCCUCAAGGAUGCAACAAAGGAUUGGUUGUACUACUUACCUGCAGGCAGUGUUACAACAUGGACCCAACUGAAAAAGAAAUUUUUGAAAAAAUUCUUCCCUACAUCCCGGGCUGCAAGUCUGAGAAAGGAGAUUUGUAGCAUUAAACAGUACCCUGGAGAAUCCCUAUAUGACUAUUGGGAGAGGUUCAAUAAGUUGUGCACUAAAUGCCCACAACAUCAAAUUAGUGAACAACUAUUGAUCUAAUAUUUCUAUAAGAGGCUCCAGUCAUCCGACAGGAGUAUCAUUGAUCCUGCGAGCGGGGGAGCAUUGGCAAAUAAGACCCCGAGGGAAGCAUGGUUGCUCAUUGAAACUAUGACAAAAAAUUCACAACAGUUUGGCUUCCGCGAGAGUAACCCUACCCGUAGGGUUAACAAGAUAGAGACAUUAUCCAUUCAGCAGCAGCUAUCAGAGCUAACAUCUUUCGUUCGCCAAUUAGCUGUGGGAAACGGGCACCAAGCAAAGGCCUGUGGAAUCUGCACAAAUGUGGGUCACCCCACUGACUCAUGCCCUAUGUUGCAAGAGGAUGGGGCUAAACAUAUGAACAUGACUGGAGGCGUGCCCGCGCCUCGUAGGCAGUACGACCCACACUCGAACACGUACAAUCCGAGUUGGAAAGAUCACCCCAAUUUCAGCUAUGAUAAUAGGCCACAGAAUUCAUUCUCCAAUCGUCCACCAGGAUUUCGGCAACCAUGGCAACCAAAGCCACAACCUUUAUCAUCUAACUCAGGAAGUUCCUUGGAGGAAAUUGUCAAGAGUUUGGUCACGACUACCACUCAGCUCCAACAGGAGACUAGGGCCCUGGUCGCGAACAAUACUCAGUUCCAGUAGGACACCAGAGCAAGCAUGAAAAACAUGGAGACUCGAAUGAAUCAAAUGGCAACCGUCAUUAAUCGCUUGGAGUCCCACGUUUAUGGAAAACUACCAUUACAAUCCAAGAUAAAUCCCAAGAAUGUAAGUGCCAUGACACUAAAGAGUGGCAAAGAGGUGGAGGGACCUAAGUUGGUAAAUUCGAAAAGCAAAAAGUGAGGAGGAGAUAGAAGAGGGAGUUGAAGAGGAACGGCACAUUCGCGAAGAGUCUAAGGUAACAUCUAUUCCUUUGAUGCCUAUUAAAUCUAAUCUAGCUCCUUUUGCUUGCAGGUUGGAAAAGACAAAUAGGGCAGAAAAGGAAAAAGAAAUCCUGGAUGUGUUCCGCAAAAUUCAAGUAAACAUCCCCCUAUUGGAUGCGAUCAAACAGGUAUCCAAGUAUGCAAAGUUCUUGAAAAACUUGUACGUUAACAAAAGAAAGCUAAGGGAUGAUGAGAGAGUGAUGGUAGGAGAGAAUGUAUCAGCUGUACUUCAAAGGAAACUCCCACCCAAAUGCGAGGAUCCAAGCAUGUUUACUAUCUCCUGUAAGAUUGGAUGUUCUAAUAUCGAAAAUACCAUGCUAGUUUAGGAGCCUCUAUUAAUGUGAUGUCUAAAUCAAUCUAUGAUUCCCUAAAUUUAGGACCUUUAAAAGAAACAAGAAUAAUAAUUCAAUUGGCUGAUCGUACAUUUGCUUAUCCGGAUAGAAUAGUUGAGAAUGUUUUAGUGCAAGUAGAUGGAUUAAUUUUUCCUGCUAAUUUUUAUGUGCUUUACAUGGAUGAUAGAAGUGUCCCAAAUCCAUCACCCAUUAUAUUAGGAAGGCCAUUCUUGAGUACUGCCCAAACUAAGAUUGAUGUUAGUAAGGGUACUUUCACAAUGAAAUUUGAUGGAGAAACAGUCCAUUUUAAUAUUUUUGAUACAGUGAAACAUCCUGUUAACUCUUAUUCUGUGUUUGUUAUUCAUGCUACUGAUCCAUCUGUGCAAAAAUUUUCUGAGUUUGCUUGUAGAAGUAAAUUCAAAGUUGCUGCAAACAAGUAUCAUGGAAUGAAAGCAAUUCAUGAGGUGAAAAUGGGUAGAAAAUUAAGAAAAAAUGUUGCAUUCAAUGGCUAUUUGGAUCCCGGAGGAGGGCCACUGAUUACAAGAAAAAUUGAAUUACAUCCAAACUGAAGAGCGGUGUAUAGUGUCUAGCCAAAGACAUUAAAGAAAGACACUACUUGGAAAGCAAUCCAAGGAUUUCAAUUGUGUUCUAUUUCAUAUUUGUGUGCUCAAGACCAGUGGGUUUAGAUUCCUAUUGACAAUAUUUAUUAUAGGUCAUGGGUGUUUCUGUGUAGUUUUAUUCUAGGUUGGACGCAAAAAAAAAAAAUUUUGUGGGCAGAAGACUUCAUGUUACAAGGCGUGCCCGGGCCUUGUACUCACCGCACAUGAAUAUUUGUAAAAUUUGGUGAACAGAAGACCUCGACCUCCAAGGCAUGCCCACGCCUUCCAACCUUUGCAACAAUGAAAGUAAAAAAAAAUUGACCAGGACCUUCUCUAACCCCACUUUUCUACUUUUCUUUUUUCUUGUCUUGUCUGGUCUUUUUAAUUUCCUCUGUCUUAGUUUCUACUUUUCAAUUUCCUUUGUUUUGUCUUAGUUUCAGUUUCUUCGUUUCCUCUUUUCUUGUUAGUCUGCCGCGCACAGCGCGUCGCCGUGGCGUGCUCCUCUUACCAUACUCCUCCUACUGGGGAUUCCCAAUACUGUGCCCUCCAAGAUUCUAUCCAUGAACUAGGUGAGCAGGUUGAGGGACUAGAUGGCCGUCUUGCAGCGCUGCAGGUUUUUGCUCGCAUUCAGGUGGAGAACUAGGCAGCUUUCUUUACGCAUAUUGGAUUCACUCCACCUCAUCCUCCUCCCCCUUAGUGUCUAGCUGCAGCCUCUCGGUAGUCAAGGAAGUUUCUCUCCUUUUCUCCUAAUAUUUCAUUUGUCUUUUCUACAUUGAGAACAAUGUAGGUUUUAGGUGUGGGGGAGUAGUUCCCAUUAUUUCUUUUGGUUUCCAUUAUUUCUUUUGGCUUUGGUACAAAAAAAAACAAAAAAUGGAAAACAAAAAAAUGAAAAAAUGAUGAAAACAAUGUAGUUAGUCGGCUUUCUGUUCAUUUCUAUGUUUGUUAGUACUGGAGCAUAUUGCUAUGACGAAUUAUACAAUCAUGGUGCACAGGUAUGUGGUCAAAUAUGCUAGUUGGGCAUUUUGUUUUUGCUUUGCAAUAUCAUUGAAUGUUGAAUAUGCUGGACUUGAUCCAUUCUUAAAACUUUUGGGAGCUUUUGAGCCAUACAUGAGCACAUUAUUCUUGUUUGUUCUAUUUUUGUUUGAUUGAGUGGGUAUCACACAUGGUAUUGGUAUUCUAGAACUUGCUAUUUUGUACAUGUCGAGAUCACAUUUUGUUGAAGUGGAUGCAUUUGAAAUAAUAAGGGCAUUUAGGAUUUGACCUUCUUUAGCUUUCUAAAAACCAUGCAUUCAUCUUAUCUCCCGAUAGUGAAUCAAUUUGAAUUUUUAUCCUUCGCUUUUGUUUGUUAGUCGUGUUUGAUAACCCAUGACCUUUUUAUACUUUCUUGUUCAACCUUGUGUCAUUAAGAGAUGUCUGAAAUUCGGCAAAUAAAUCUAGGGUCGCAAGUGUUGUCAAAAUAGAUGCUGUAUGAUGUUGUUUCUGUACAUCUGAGAUCGAAAAAAAAGAAAAAAAGAAAAAAAAAGGAAAAAAAGGGGAAGAAAUUGUCAAUAAGAUGGUGAAACAGACGACUCUGUCUUACAGGGCGUGCCCACGCCUUGCAAUUACUUAACUCAACCAAAAAAAUAAAAAAAAUUUUGGCGACACUUGCACAGUGGGUGUAGCAAAUGAAACUGCCUUAUUUGUGAAACUCCUCCGGUGAAGCAUUGUGGUUAUAUGGUGGGUUUCUGAUAUUCGAGGCACAUACCGGUUGAAUGAUCCCUGGCAUAACAAAUUCCACAAGUUGCAGCAGCCAUUCUUUCAAUAAGAGAGUUUAGUGCCUCUGAAUAUGCAAACUUAGAAAAAAAACAAGCCUCAUUGUCUUCCCUGGAAACAAAAUCCAGUCUAUCACCAAAAUCCGGAGUGUUAGAAGCCAUAAACUAUAUAAAAAAAAUAAGAGAAAAAUAAACAAAAAAAAAAUGAAAACAAGAUGAACUCAAAAAGAAACAAAUUAAUCUGACACCAGUCCCCGACAACGGCGCCAAAAAUUGACAGGGUGUCGAACCUGUGCAAUAAUAAAUACCUGCUUAAAUAAAAUAUAAUUUCUGUAGAUAGUGAUAAGCAGGGUCGAAUCCACAGGAAUUGGGGAUAAUUUAUUUCUUUAGAGUCCGAAGUAUGGGGGAUUUUUGAAAAUGAGAGUAACUAAACUACUUGGAAUAAAUUAAAAUAAAAUAAAACAACUACAACUCAAAUAACUAAUUAUCACAAUAAAAAUAAUAAUGGACGAACUCUAACCAAGAGACAACUUCGGAGAUGGUUCACUUAAUUCGAUCACAGAUGCAAGGAUUAUUCCAGUUACUAUCUGAUAAAUUAGUUAUAGUUGUCAUACACGCGAUAAACAACCAACUCUUCCUCAAUUUGUCGAAAGCCAAGGUACGACCGUUGACUAUUUCUCUAAUCAGGAAAUAACCUUAGGUACGACCAUAGAAGUUCAAUUCCCUAAUUGCAUGAAUAAUUAGAAGAGCCUAAUUCUAACCAAUCAACACGCUACGAGGGUCUCUUUAAGUUAACCUGUCUAUCUCCCUGACACAAACCCAAUCAUGCCAGUUGCCACCAGUUUAGAAUAAUUAAACAAUUACGGAUUUAACUACCCUAAUUGGUUUCAGGUUAUUGAAUUAAUCUAGAAUCCGGGCCCUGGAUAAUCGAAUAAUAAAACAACCAUAUGAACAUAAAGCAGAAGAUAGACGAAUACCAGUGAAUAAUGAAAAUAAAUAAAAACUAAUUCGAUCUCACAAAUUUAGUAGAACCAAGUCCUCCGUUGUUCCUCGACUAUAUGAGAAACUUAGCCACGCCUCAUGAGAAAAUCUCCAAGUGAUUUUACUGAGGUCCAAGCCAUCAAAGGAACUAAGAAAGAAUAAAACUAAACUAUGCUAAAAACUAAGCUAAAACUAUUGAUAAGAGCUUCUGUGUAUGUUUGUUUCUCUUUUUAAAGCCAAAUGACUAAUACCUUCCCUCUUUUCUGUGGUCCCCGCACGAAUUGAGAGUCCAAUUCCAUCUCACAAGCCUUUGUACGUUUCUUUUCCAAGAGCCCAAAUGACUCAUGCUUCUUAUCUCCGUGGUCCCACGAGAUUCCCCAAUCAAAGUCCAAAAGGUAAGGCCUCUUAAUGUUUCCUCUUUUCUCGUUUCUCAUUGCUCCUAGGACUCCUAGGAUUCAAGACACUCCUCAUCAGCAAAGGAAAUGCAGUCCGCAUCUAUCACAAUGUGGGCCAGGUCUGUGGCUUAGUUGAAGUCUCAAUUGUUUCCAGAAAGUCCCUCUUUUUUUGUAAUUUUCUGCUUCACUCCCUGAAAUUGGGUCCAAUACCAAAUAUAAGUAAAUAUUAAUAAUUAAAAUAAUAUUUGGCAAGGAUAAAAGGGAAAUUAAUAAUAAAAUAACCAAUAAUUAACACCCUAUCAGUUUCGGACAUUCUCUUGACAUAUUACCCCCUAUCUAUACCUUUCUAUCCCAUUUUUUACCUAAGCCCCAUUACAACCCUAUCAAAAUUCCUUUGAUUUGUGUAUUUAGUUCAUUUUUGAGUGGUGGAGAUGUGAUAAAUGUGCAAACUUAUGGUAAUGUCAUUCCGUGAUGUUGAUUUGAGCGUUCCUAGUAUUCAUACAUUUUUUUUGAAUUACCACCUGUCCGGUGUGUUCUAAUUUUGGCAAUAUUGUCAGGAAUGCGGGAUGUUUGAGGUAGUAUAGAUGACUAAGAAACCGUUGCUAUCUUGAUUGUGCUUCUGAGCUCCAAAAUGCUUGAGGGCAAGCAUUGUCUAGAUGUGGGGAGAUUUGAUAGAACGGUUAUUGAACACAUUUUGCACUAUUAUUCUGCCCUAAUUUUGGCUACUCAUGGUGCUAAGAAUUGGGAAUUUGCUCAUAUUUGAUAUUUGUGUAAAUUGUAGGUGGUUGGUGUUAAAAGUAAUCUUUUCAGGCAAAUUUUCAGAAGACCCUUUAUUUCAGAACGUGCCCACGCCAGAAAUUAUGGAGGGUUACCCAAAAAUCGGACCCGCGAGCUUGGUAACAGCGGGAAAACCAAUUAAGGAACCAGGUGCGUGGGAUUAGAACCCUUAGACAAAGCUUGCUCCUGAUUUGACUCCUACAAGUGGCGCUACAAAUAAGAAAACAAGCCAGAUUCACGGGGAAUCAUCUACCUUAGCUUUAGUUUUCCUUUUUUCACAUCUGUCAGACAUCAAAGACUUUUUCCUUGUUUUCUUUGGCUUUUACGUUUUGACUCUUUUGCUUUUGCUUUGGAUCUGUACAAUUUUCGUUGGCUUUGGCAUUGAACUUUCGGAUCCAGUACGGAUUCCAACGCAGAGACAAGCAAGACUUUUCACUUUUUCUUUCUUUGUUACUUCAUCGGUCCACAUUCUUUGAUGUUUGUGUGGAUGAAAUCAAUUAAAUCACGCGAGACUGAUAUGACGAGGAGCGGCUAAAUUUCCCUUCUACCUAAGGGUUAACGCAAAGGCGCGGUCCAUAACAUCUGUGAGAUCUAAUCGAAUUUUCACUAUUUCAUCCAAUUCGUUAUUAUUCAUGUGUUUCCUGGAUUAAUUGUUCGUGGGUAUUUUAUUAAUUGGGUACCAACGGUCGGAUAUUUAAUUUAAUCUAAUAGCCUACUGCCAUAUUAAUUAAAUUGAAUCCGUAAUUGUUCGUUUAGUUGACAACUAGUGGCAACCACCAUAAUUGGUUUUAUGUUGGGAAAACGCAAGAUCUAAUUUAAAUAAACCAUCUCAGCGUGUUUAUUGGUUAGGGUUGGAUUUUUCUAGUUUUAAUGCAACUGGAUAACUAAAUUUUUAUGGUCGUACGUAGGAUUGUUUUCUGGUUAGAGAAUCAGUCAAUGGUCGUACCUUGACUGUCGAAAAAGUAAGGAAGAAUUAGUUGUUAAAACUUAUUGAUAACUAUAACCAACCUAGUGACGGAUGGAUGAAAUAUCUUUGCAUCGAUGAUCAUUUAAUUGGACCGUGCCUGAAAAGUUGAUCCAUUAGGUAGAAUUUUAUUAAUUGCUAUUUUUAGUAAAUUAUACUUGUGGAGUUAUCUUAUGAAUUUUAUUUAUUUUAUUUUUGUUUCCAUCCCAUUAAUCAUCUCCCAAUUUUAUUCUAUUGACUUAGAAAGAAACAACUUCCUACCCGUUCCCUGUGGAAUCGACCCUACUUGCCAUUAUACGCAAAAUUAAUAUUUUUAUAGACAAUUCAGGUAUAUCGAACCAAGCAAACUCUUCGGGAACAGGGUGAAUCAAGUAACCCAUUGCAUACCUAGGGUCCCUGCUCUAGUACUUGGAUUUGUUUUAUAAUUAAAUAGGGACUACUUGUCCUGUAUUCAGAUAUGCCAUUGUAAUAGAACUUUAGUAUACUUAGAUAGUAUAUUAUUUAGGAUAAUUUUUUGACAAAAAUAUUGUAACAUUUUUUUUGAUAUGAUAUAUGUCAGAUAAAAAGAUGAUUGAAAAAUUUGUUGAUGAUACAAACAAAUAAAAUUUGACAAAUAAUCUACUAUCCAAACAAAGACUAGAUUUUCUAUGUGCAAAUAUGCUAGGGUAACCGAUUCACAACACAUUGUAUGAAACUUUAUUCCCCAUGGUGUUGCAUGUUAUUCGUGUUUGUUUUGGUGAUAAUUAAGCCCCAGUGAGGCCAUAAUUGAGUAGAACUUGAAGUAGAAUUUUAUUUAUUUAUUUUUGGAUAAGAUUUUAAGGGACCCAAAUGAUACAAUUUGAAGUAGUAUAUUGAAAAUUCAAGAAUUUGAUAUCUUGGUAUUUCUAGAAUUUAAAAGUUGGAUUUUAACCAAAAAAAAAAAAAAGAAUUCAAAAAGUUGGAUAUUGUGAGAAAAAUCAAGUGGGUCCAAGUUUGUUAUGUCUAUCCUACAAUAGUACAAUGAGUGGACAAUAAUAAAUAUGGGAAAAAUACACUUUUUAUCCCUAAUGUUUAAGGUGUUAACCAAUUUCGUCCCUAAAGUUUCAUGUAAAACAUAUUUCAUCCUUGUAAUUUGAUAAUUUUAACUAAUUUCUUUCUUAAAGUUUCACACGAACACAUUUCAUCCUCAUAGUUUAAUAUAUUUGGCUAAUUGAGGACAAUUAGUGGAUUGUCAAUGAUUUUAAAUAGAAUAUUGUCACUUGACCACAACAUGCCCAUUAGUAAAAAAAAAAAAAACAUUGGAUCAACAAAAAGGUUAAAAAUCUUUUCUUAAUCCACUUUCUCAUUUUGGUACCAAAAAAAAAACUUAAGAAAUUUUUAGCCACCAUUACUGUCUUCUUAAUCACAAUCGAACAAGAAGAUAUAUCUAAAGAAAAUGAAGUCAUGGAAAACAAACAACCCCACUAUAGCCAAUUGGAAAAAAAUGUCAAACAACUCCAUUACAACUAAUUGGAGAAAAAUAUUAAUGUGAAAGAAAGAAUGGUUUGAAUUGUCAUUUAUUUGCAAAAUUUUGUUUUGCUGCUGUGUAUUUUGCACCAACAGUUGUAUCAUGUAUACGUUUUUCAAUCAUCUAUUCAUCUUUCAAUCUAUUUGUUUUAUCUCAAAUGCAUUAUAUCAUAAUUUUAAAAAACAAAGAGAUAGUCUCAUAUCCAAAAACACUUGUUAAUUUUGUAAUUUAAUCAAUAACUGAAUUAAGUAUUAAUAAUACAAUUACUAAUGGGACAUGUGAUGAUAUUAUGUCCAAAUUGGUUAACAAUCAUUUAAUUGUCCUCAAUUGAUAGAAAUUAUGAAACUAUCGGGAUGAAAUGUGUUCUACAUAAAUUUCAGGGACAAUUGGUCUAAAUUAUAAAACUAUGAGGAUAAAAUAUGUUUAGAAUGAAACUUUAGGAACGAAAUUAGUUAACACAUUAAACAAUGGGGAUGAAAAGUGCAUUUUUCCUAAUAAAUAUUUUUGUUUGUUCCUUCUUCUGUCGUUCGUACUAAAACAGUCAACGGGAAUGACGCCGCUCCGAUGUUCACAAAAUAAUUGGUUGGAUUCCAAACUAGGCAUUAAAAUAAGGAAACAAGUCUAUGACUCUCAAUUUGAAGCUGUGCUAUCAUAAAUUGUUUAAGAAUACCGCUAAUGGAACACUUAUUGAGUGUGCAAUGCAAUCAAAUUUUAAUUUUUUGCAAAGUCUAAGUUUUGAAAAUUAAAUACUGGUAAAAACUAUAAUUCGUGGAAAGGUUUUAUAUUUAUUUGACAAAAUAUUUAAUUCACUUCAUAGAGGUAAGAUAUGAAUUUUUAUUCAAUGUGUAAUUGGUUUCUUUUGAAAUAAAAGGUAGUAGUUAUAUUGAGUUUAAUAUAUAUUGUGAGUAGUUGAUGUCUAAAAGUUGCAAAUUGUUUUAGGUAUAUGAAAAAAAGAGAGAUUAUAUUAGGUGUAAAAGCCAACAUAGGUGUUUUAGAGCAUUAAAGCAAGAGAAUAUUGAAAGCUUGGUUUAGGAAAUACUAUGAUAGUUUGAUCUAUUGCAUAUAAGAACGAGAAAAUAACUGUGACCACUUCCUUAUCUUACCAAAGUACAAUUAUAUUUUGUUAAAAAAAAAAUCUCCAGCAAAGGAAGGGUGAGAUUGAUUUAAGAAGCAGGGAGGAAAAAAAGAAUUUGAACUCAGAAAUUUUCACCAAAGAUGCCUUGUUCUAGUAGUUAAAGUUGAAAUUCCAAAAAUUAGAGUAUUGAGUUCAAAUCCCUCUGCUUCCUUCCCACUUUUUAAGUUCCAUGUCUCUCCUUUUUGAAAAAAAAAAAAGAAAUAGUAAAGUACACUCAUGUUAUAGUACAUCACUAUUUGGUACUUUAUAUAUCCCUAUAACAUAUAAGAAGACGUUUUGUGGGUUACUGUUCAUUGCAUUUCAUCUGCCUCCUUGGGGGUUUUUUUGUCAUUCCAGCCUCUUGCUUAUUCUUUUUCUUGGAGCUGGUACAACUGGUUGCUGCUUUGGAGAAUAUGUCUUUUCUAUCCUUAUUACAAGCCUUAGCCGGAUGUUAGUGGAAUGUUGGCUGUUUUGCAACAUUAAUGAGAUUUGAUGCUCAUUUCUAUCAGCCAACUCAUUUGCCUUGUUUAAUUACAUUUUUCUCCUUCCAAAUGCUCAUUGAAUAGACUGAGCAUUUUGAAUUCAUGUGUAACAGAGUCAUUUCACAAUAGCCUUCUACUUUUGCUAUUGAAAAUUAGAAAAUUGAGUCUUCUCUUCUCCGUGUUCUCCUGCUACAUGCAUUCAUUAUCCACAACUCUUUGUCUAUAUCCACAACUCUCCGUUCUAUCCUACUGCCUUUGUUAUUGCAUUGAAAAAUCCCAUAUCUAGGUUCUAUUUCCUUUCUGCUAAAUCUUUGUUUUCUACCUUAUUCAUGAUAUGAACUGUAAACCAUAUUUACUAUUAUUGUCAUGCUUGGUGUUAGCUUUGCAUAUUCAGUGUACAAUGGCUUCAACUGAUGCACUUGCACAUUCAACGGAUAAGAAGAUUCAUUGCAACAGAAGAUUAAGAGAAAAAUAUGCUUCCUUAUCAGUGGAAGAAAAAGAAGCUUGUCGAGCUAAAUAGAAGGAAGCUUAUCUAAAGAGGAGAGCAAGGAAAGCUGCUGCAUCGACGUCUUCUAUGAACUGACAACAAACUAACAGUAUCUUAUUCAGUUUUGCUAGAAAUGAAAGCUGUGGUAUAAAUGUUUGGUGCUUCGCGUUUAUAUUGGUUUCUUUAGAUUUCUACUUAACUAGUUUAAUGGUUGAUUAAACUUCUUUAUGUGUAAAUUGACAGCAAACUUCUGUAAUAAAUAUAUACACAUGGAGAAGAGCUGUUGAGUUUGCCUGUAUCUGAAGUUUUUGAGUUUUCUGCUUCGCUGCCUUAAUAUUGGAUUAAAAAGAAAUCUUUAUGUUUGAAUUAAAAAAAAAUCUAUAAGAGAUGCAUGCGAAUGGAGAACAGCUUCUAGUUACUGUGAAAAGCUGUGCCAAUAUUUAAAUUAAAAUUGUAAUUUGCAUUAUGCUAAACAUGAUGUAAAUUAUCAAAACCUUUUAAUUCAGGUGCACAACUUCUAGUUUCGUGUGACCUAUGACAAAAUAAUGACCACAAUAACCAACAGGCUAUUGCUAUUAAACCACUUCCACAACAGAGUAGAGACAAAGAGGCUAAUUUGCAACAAUCUAUUGCUAUCAAAUUGGUUGUGCAACAACAUAACAAAAGUAAUUCUCUGUGCAAAUGCAAUGCUGAAUUAGAAGGCAAGUUGAAGAGGCAUGUUUUCUUGACAUUUGAACAUGGUAUGCUUGCACAAGUUCAUUACUCUUUAAAUUUUCUACGCCAAGUUGUUCCCUUUUUUUUUUUUUGCUCUUCUAUGUUUAUACAUGCAUUUUUUGAUCUUAUGUUCAUAUAGGUUCUUCGUUAAAAAGACAUUAAUUUAUAAAUGUAAAAGAAUCAGUAGACUAAACGUUUCAAGUAUAUCUUGUUAUAAUCAUAUUUAUCAAUGUACGCUUCAUAUAAUAAUUUCUAUGCUUGCAACUAGUAGGUGAUCCUCCUAUAUGUGAUAGCUGCUAUAAAUUCUUGCAUGAAACAGUUGAUGAUCUUGCAGGUUGAAAUCCUUAAUCCUAUUUUUAUAAAUAUUUGCUCAAUGUCGUUUGGUUGCUAAACUUGAUUUAGGCUCUUACAGUUUCUUAUUUGCCUAAUCAGGUAUAUCUAUGACAAUAUGCCCUCAACCAGUGGAAGCCAAUGUUUCUCAUGCCAUGAAAAAUUGUCCAAAAGGUAUGCAUAUCUAAAAUGUAUCUGGAAAUGUUGUAGAAUCUAUAUGUAUGUAUAUCAGCAGCAUGAUUUUUUUACCUCGUAACUAACCAGAUUAUUGAACUACCAACUAGAGUAAGUAAGCGCAAGUAGAUUCAUUGCUCACUCGAACCCAUUCCUCUUGCUCUACCUAUUGAGUGCACAGAUGACUCGCGAAAAAAACUAUAGAGAGCGACCGAAGCUCGUCAAGCCCCGAUCCUUCUUCAGCCAUAAGAAAGCCAAGACCAGACUUGGGGAGAACUACUCUGUCCACACCUGUCCCAUUCCUUCUCUCUUCAGUAAGCGAAUCAGCCAGUAAACUUGAAUCUGUGGGUAGCACAAAAAGAGUAGCUUGGUUCCGUUUCGGUUUAUACACCAGGGCCAAAACCUUACCAUGCCAACACUCUUCCGGUUCGAUAAGACCAGCUCUUUCUAUAGCUGCAUUUCAUCUUCCCCUCAAUUGCUCUGUAGGCAAAAGCUCAAGCCAAAGGAGAUCAAACAUCCAAGCAAAGAAGGCUUGCAUGCAAAACAAGGGUAUCAUUGCUGUUUCUUUAUCUUACAUCUAUACAUAUUCAAAUAUUUAUACCUCUUUCAUAUGCACAUAAAAUAGUCAUAAAAAUGCUUUGUGUCCUAUUAUUCUACAACAUCUAAAAAUAUAGCUGGUGUAGAUGUUCUGAAUUUCAUUAACCAUAGUGCAAACCGCCUCCCUGAUGCAUUAGAUUGUAAAUAUUGUGGAUCAAAAAAAUUCUACUCAGAGACAGCAAACUUUUGCUAUUUUGAUGGCAAAGUUCUGCUCCAUGAAAAUAAGCUACCUAACAUCUUAAUUGAACUUUUUAGUGGUCAGAGCGGAGAAGCUAUACAAUUUCGAACCUAUGUCAGGACCUAUAAUAGCAUGUUUGCAUUUACUUCAUUUGGUGUUCACUAUGAAAAAUCCCUCUGCAAGAGAACAAAUGAAAUCUAUAUAUUCAAGAUACAAGGCCAAACCUAUCAUUUCAUCAAUGAACUAAUAAGGCAUGGAGGAUUAGGAAUGUAUCUUCAGCUUUAUUUUCAUGACACAGAACAUAAAAUUCAGAAUCGAUUAGCAAUAUCAAAAAAGCUGACUGAAAGUAUUGUAGUCAAACUAAUGGAAGUAAUGAAAGAAAAUCCAUAUGCUUGCUUCUUCAGGAGUUUGAGAAAUCUCCCAAACUUCGACUCAUAUCAUAUAGUUUUAAAAUCUCACUCCGACAAUGACCAGCAAGUGUUUAAUAAACCUGCUGUAUCUCAAGUUGCAGCUUUAUGGGUUAAAUGAGAAAACGCUAAUCAAGGCUAUUCUAGACACAUACAAAUAUAUACUAAAGAAGGACAUAGCCACCGCAUUCAAUAUUACUACGGCUACUGUGACCCUCUUCAGUAUUCACUACUUUUUUCAUUCGGAGAAACUAGAUGGCAUCCAGGUAUACAACAAUUAGGGAUAGACAAUCCAAAAAAGCGUAAAAGAAAGACUAUGAUACAUUCAUGUUUAGCUACAUUGUCCAGCAUUAAGUCGGCAGAAGAAAUGAUUGAUCUCGAAGAAGAAGGUAACACACAUAUACCAUUAUUAUAUAUAACUGUAUUGAAUUACAGUUAUCUCUUCUUUGACAAAUAUUCUAAAUCUUACAGCUUACAAGGCAAAUGAAAACUCCAAGGAAUAUGUAUCCAUGAUACAGUAUUAUGCAUAUAAAUUCUAGAUAAGAAAAAAAAUUGGGCCAAAUAUUUUAAACGCUUGAAGAGCUUUGCAACAGUAUUCAGUUGAUUUGUACGUUAAAAUAGAGACACAAAGACGAGAUUUUUAUAGAAGCAGACAACAGCAAAUACGUCAAGAGCAGCUACAAGGAAUUAUAGACAAUAUAAUACAGGGACAACAAAAUGGAUUUCGGAUUGAACUGCGAGUAAUAUUGCCUGCAUCAUUUAUUGGAGGCCCUAGAGAUAUGAAAAAAAAGGUAUCUUGAUACUACGACUUUGGUCCAGAAAUUUGGGAAGCCGGAUCUUUUUAUAACUAUGACUUGCAACCAAUCAUGGCCUGAAAUUAAAGAAAAUCUGUUAUAAUCAGAUGAAGCAUAGAAUAGGCUUGAUCUUAUUCCUCGUGUGUUCUAUGCAAAGUUAGAAAUUAUAAAGGAAGAGUUAUUCAAGAAGCAAAUAUUUGGAGAAAUAGUAGCCUAUACUUAUGUUAUAGAAUUUCAGAAACGUGGUUUGCCUCAUGCUCACUUUCCAAUUAUCCUCAAGCCUACUUUCAAAUUAUAUACAAUAGAAGAUUAUGAUUGUAUAGUUUUUGUAGAAAGACCCGAUGAAACACAAAUGAGCAUCUCUUUAGAAUGGUCAAGAAACAUAUGAUGCAUAGGCCGUGUGGCGAGAAAAAAACCUGAUACUGUAUAAAUACAGGAUGUAUCAAAGAAGUAUUGCAAGAAUAAUUAUCCAAAGGCAUGGGCAGAAAAAAUUAGACAUUCUUCGAACUCGUAUCCAACAUACAGAAGAAGAAAUGAUAGCAAAAAAAAUUUUAUCCGGGGGCACUACUUAGACAACAUAUGGGUAGUGCCAUACAAUGCUUAUCUAUUGGCCAAAUUCAAUUGCCAUAUAAAUGUUGAAAUUUGCUCCACAAUUAAGACCGUCAAGUAUGUGUAUAAGUAUACAUACAAAGGUCAUGCAAGGAUACAUUUUCAAGUGAAUUCAGGUGAUGGAGCAAAUGCUAUUGAUGAAAUCAAGGAAUAUCAGUCAGCACAGUAGGUAUUUGCAGUUGAAACGAUGUGGAGGAUAUAUAGAUUUCACCUUUACGAAAUGCAGCAUACUGUAAUAUAGCAUCAACUCCACCUAGAAAACUUCCAAUCUAUGCUCUUUCAACCAAAUGAUAGUCUUGACAAUAUAUUAAGUAACAAUUUUGUAAAAAGAAACUCACCCAAUUUUUUUAAAUGAAUGCUACAGAUAAUUUAACAAAAAGUUUCAAAUGUACCUACAAAGAAUCCCUCGAACAUUUUGUGUGGUAUCCAAGUUCCAAAUCUUAGCAACCUAGCAACAAAGAGAUUUUAUCAGUAGAGUUGUUGCAGCAAAUCCCCUUGAAAGUGAACGGUACUUCUUAGGACUCCUUUUACUGCAUGUUAAAGCCCCAACUUCUUAUGAUGAUUUAAAAACUGUAAACGGAGUGCAUGUUACUACAUUUUGGGAAGCAGCUGCACUUAGAGGAUAUCUGGAAUCAAAUAACUUACAAGAACAAUUUCUAGAAGAAACUAUUGUUUAUCAUAUGCCAUAUAGCCUAAGGAUGUUGUUUGCAACAUUAUUGGUUUACUUUACUCCCUCAAACCCAAGAACACUAUGGUUGAAAUUUGAAGAAUCAUUGUCUAAAGAUUACAAUGGAGUCCCAAACUUAACCAAAAAUGAUAUUCAAUUUAAAGUUUUACAUCAAAUAAGCAAUUUUUUAGAAUCUAUGGGUCGUAACAUAAACAGCUAUGGGCUGGUGCCAAGAGUACUAAAAUUUCACGACUCAAAUCACAAAUGCAAGAGAUACAAUUAGUGAAACAGAGAUUAAAGUUUCAGAGGAUGACUUGAUAUCAAUUACUAAAAUCAAUCCUGGUCAAAAAACAGCUUUUGAUGCUAUAAUGCAGGCGUUAUACAUUAAACAAAAGGGAUGUUUCUUUAUCGAUGGACCAGGUGGCAAACAGCUCACUCUCAAAUGAGUAAACAAAGUGAACUUGCUAAACUUAUUCAAACAGCUAAACUUAUCAUUUGGGACAAAGCUCCAAUGGCACACAAAACUAGUAUAGAAGGUGUGGAUGCACUACUAAAAGAUUCGAUGGAUUCUUCUGAAUUAUUUGGCUCAAACGUUAUGAUUUUUGGUAGUGAAUUUAGACUAGUUCUCCCCAUUGUCACUAAAGGUUCAAAGGAAGAUUUCACAUAAGCUAGCUUAGUAACUUCACAUAUUUGGCCAUAGCUUCAUAAACUGUACCUCACAGAUAAUAUGAAAGCAAUAUCAGACCCAAAAUUUACAAAUUACCUUCUCUGAAUAGGAAAUGGACUAGAACCAACAAUACAAGGGUUGAAAGUAAGGAUCCCUCUCCCACUACUAAUACCAUACAAAAGUGAAACAGAAUCAAUUUUUGAACUUAUUAAAAUAGUUUACCCAAAUGUGUUAAAUAAUUUGUUAAUUGAAAUUUUUUCAGGUGAGUCUCAAAAUUAUAUUAGUCGUGAUAAAACACAUGAAAUUUCAGAACAAGGCCAAUUUGAAGACUUUCUCAACAAAUUAACAUCCAAUGGUUUCCCCCUCCCACACAAGCUUAUUCUGAAACCAAAUUGCCCAAUAAUUCUUCUAAAAAACAUUGAUCCCCCAGAAGGCUUGUGCAAUGGAACAAGGUUAAUAUAUAAAAUUUUGACUAACAAUAUUAUUGAUGCGGUUAUAAGUGCUGGAGAAUUCAAAGGUAAACAAGUCUUUUUACAUAGAAUAUCUUUCCAAAUAGAACAUGAUACUGAUUGCCCGAUGUCAUUUGAAAUACUUCAAUUUCCUGUGCGUCUAUGUUUUGUGAUGACAAUUAAUAAAGCUCAAGGUCUAACUUUAGAUUCCGUUGGCAUAUACUUAUGUGAACCAAUUUUUUCACAUGGCUAACUAUAUGUUGCUUUAUGAAGAGUAAAAAAUAACAAUUGUGUAAAGAUUCUUAUACAGCCUUCUCCCUUUGAUCCAACAGUUGACUAUGCUACUAAUAACAUAGUAUACAAAGACAUUUUAUAGCUUGCAAGUCGCCACCUUUUAUAAUUAUUGAUUACAACAUUAUGACAUUCAUAUCCAUUGCACUUCUUCCCUAUACCUUUUCUGCGCAGCUAUAUUUCUGCACUAAUAAUAGCUUAACACCCAAUGGUUUGUCAUGCAUUGCUCUAUAUUUCACUUGCUUUUAUACUUUGUUAACCUAUAAAUAUGCAAGAAUCAAUGCUGCUAAUAGUUUAGCUGGACCUUCUUAAACUAAUAUUUAUCACUGUAUAUUUAUCUGGUAGCAUUAUACUGAUUCUCCAACAAUUACUGAUUAUCAUUCAUUUAGCCAAAAUACAUUAGAAAAAGCUAUCUUCAUAUUACAACAAAAAAUAAAGAUUAGCCAAAAAAAUUAUGAUUUAUUAUCUGUAACGCCUUCCUUACAUAGCAAGUCACUCAAGGUGUUUAAAAUAACUACUAUAUGAUUUUCUUUAGAAUAACUAACUUUGGCUAAUUUCAAUUUAAUUUGAACAGGUACUAUUUGAUUCUUCUAAAUGUGUUUUUUUACAAAUGACUAUUAUCUCUUUUUGUCAUGCUUAAUCUUCUUGUAGUAAAGUACUUAUUUUUCCAUGCUGAACAUUGAUGUCCUUUUAAUAAAUGAUAAAAUGUUGUAUAUGCAUAUAUAUUUUUCUGCCAUAUAUGAUUAUCUUCACGCCUCUGCCUUAUGUUUAAGCUUCAAAAAUUCAUAAUGCCUAGAUAUCCCUUGAGCUUGAAAUAACUGCGAUCUGUGACAAAGAUGAACUCCUUUCCAUAUUGAAGCAUAUAGACACAACUUGCUAUCUCUUACUCUUGUGUUACUUUGAGAGUUCAUGUUUUGUUCUAUUGAUUUGUGCUUACAUAUUCAUAACUGCAUCCUAUAAUUCAAUUUGUGGUUACACAUAAGGCAUCCAGGCUUUCUACAAGCUAUGUGAUCCUAAAUUCUAUGUUAAACGACAGAUGUCCAAACAUCUAAGACAUUACCAUCUCUACAUCUUCGCUGCCAGCUACCACUGCUUCAAUUCUUGAGUCAAUUUCCAUUUGAGCCACUAGCCCUUCUGAGUCAAUUUCUAUCUAUUACCGAAUACUUGCCAACCUUUCAUUUUCUCCAGACGCCCUAACAAUAAAGAAGCAAACCAUUUUCAAUCUCACUCAUUUGCAUAGACAGCAAAAUAAGGCAAAAUGGGUUAAGAACCUUCUCACCCAACUUCAGUCCUUCUUUUCCUUGAUCUACAAAGCAAAAACUUCAAAAAUUGUUUGUGCAAUUGUUGAUACGCUGACCAAAAUACUUGGUACAUUUGAUCUUCAGAUUGCCCUAUGCAAGGAAAUUGUACAAUGAAUGCAUAAUGAGAACCAAACUUUCCUCUGUCUGUGCACUAAGGCAAAACUCGCAACUCUUUUGAUGGAGAACGAGGAGUAUUCUGAAGCUCUAACUCUCCUUUCUUACACAUUAGAUAACAUUAAAUAACAAAUUGCUUUUCGUAGACAUUAGAUUGUUAAAGAGGAAGCUUCAUUACUCUUUCAAGAAUCUAUCUAAGACCAAAGCUGCACUUAUAGCUAUAACAAUACAUACUAUUUGAACAUUUACUAUUUCAUUCUCAUAAACAUUAGAACUUGUAGGCUCUUAUUAUCUCUUUAGUUACACAAUUGCUCGAGUAGUUCAGUAUUUCACCAUGAGUCUCCAACUGUUCCGCUGAAGUUGAUCUCAAAAGGUUUCAAGGUUCAAAAUUGGCUAACAAGAAAAGAAAGCUUACACAUUGAAAAAUAUUCUGUUGAAUAAGUAAUGCCUUAUGUGUAUUUCCUAUCACCUUAGCAUUGAGUUAAGCUUAUGCUUCAUUUAUGGUGCAAAUAAUGUCAAAUCUUUUGCAAAUAAUGCUUCAUUUAUUGAGUUAGUUUAUACUUUUACAACUGUCCUUAGGAAAUGUUCAAAAAAUAGAGGUUAAUGUUCAUUGCAUUUCAUCUACUCUCCUCGAGGGCACUUUUGUCAUUCCAGCCUCUUGCUUCUUCUUUUUCUUGGAGCUGGUACAACUGGUUGCUGCUUUUGUUUGGAGAAUAUGUCUUUUCUGCCCUUAUUACAAGCCUUAGUCGGAUGUUAGUGGAACAUUGGCUAUUCUAUAGAUGCUCAUUUUCCUCCUUCCAGAUGCUCAUUGAAUGGACUAAGCAUUUUGAACUCAUGUGUAAUAGAGUCAUUUCACAAUAGCCUUCUAUCUUGUACGAGAUGUUGACACAAGCUUGAACUAGCUUGUCAGUUAUUGCUUUUUUUUUUUAUAGCAAGAUACACAUAAUUCUUGCAAUUUUAUAACAAGAAACUCACACUAUUUUUAGCGAUUCUAUUGCAGGAUUACCAGAGAAGCUAAGUAUGAUUAAUGUCUCUAGCAUUAUGGUCAAUGUCUUUAGCGCUUGACAUCAUUUAAGCUAACAAUAUUAAUUUCAGCUGAACGUUGAUGUCCUUUUAAAAAAUGAUAAAAUGUUCCAUAUGCAUUUUUUUCUACCAUAUAUAAUUAUAUUACCAUAUAUAAUUAUAUUCAUAGCUCUACCUUGUGCUUAAGUUUUAGGGAGCCGUAAUACCUAUAUGUGCCUUCCUACUUAGUUUUAGCUUAUGAAAGUCAAGAUAUAUUAAAUAAUAAUAUAUUAUGUGUCAAAGAAAAACUUCUUUCCGCAUUGGAGCAUACAGACAUAACUUGCUACAAGAGCUAUUAAAUGGAACGAGCAGCUCGAAAGCUCGAUUGAGCUUGACUCGAUAAGGCUCGAGCUCGACUCGUUAAUUGUGAUAAACGAGUCGAUCUCGAGCUCGAGAUAUGCUCGUUUAAUUAACAAGCCGAAUAAACUCGACUCGUUUGUUAUCCGAAUAGCUCGAUUAGGCUCGAUAAGGAAGGGUGUAUAUGUCAUUUCACAAUACAACAGUAUAAAAUUAAAAAUUAUAAGUUUUUAUUGAGAUCAAUUUGCAAGCUCGGCUCGUUUGUGAUAAAAGAGUCGAGCUCGAGCCCCACAUGUCCCAUUUGGCGAGCCGAGUCCAAACACAUUUCAAAACUCUUCCGCCUAGUCGAGCGAGCUCGAGUUUGGCUCGAGUCGAGCUCGACAACCAAAUACUCAACUUGACUUGGCUCGAUUAGCAGCACUAUUUGCAACCUCUUAGUCUUAUGUUAGUUUCGCAGUCCAUGUUUUCUUCUACUGAUUUCUACUUGCAUUUGAUAUCAGAGCCUAGAACUUCAUGUGGUGAAAGCAGUUGCUGAUGCUAAUUCAUUGUAUGACACUUUCAGUAUUUCCUCCAUUCUAUUCUCUUGUUGCAUACUAUUGUGUUUAUACAUUUAUUCUAUUUAUAGAUUGUGUAUACAACUUUCGCUUUGCUGCUAUUAUCUAUUUCUUAUCUUCAAUUUCUUUUCUCUUAUGAUAGGUUGCAAUUUUAUCAUUUAUUUUAUUAUUAAUUUCCCUUAUUACCUGACCCAAUGUGGAUUAAUUAUUAAAUUCUACUCAUUUUUAGUAUUUUACAUUUAUUUCAGGGAGUAGAACGAAAAUAUGAUAACAAGUGUCAAUUUGACUGAAAAAGAGUCCAAAUAAUAGAGCUUAUCCCAAGGGCAUUUUUGGAACAAAUAGAUGCUAGCCCUUUUCGGUAAUUUUGUCGAAGACAACAUGGAAAAAGAACCAAAGGGCUGAAGUCUUCUUGGGAUUGCAUGGGCCGCCGCCGCACAGGAGCCAAGCUUUAGAAUGGCUAGGUAUUAGAUGGAAAGAAAAACGCAGAGAACAAGCACUAUAAAAGCUUAGCCGUGAACUUUUCCUUUCAUCUUUAGUUCCUCUUUGACUUUUCUUUUCGGUAUUUUUUGUCCUUUAGUAGCUUUGCUCCCUGCGCAUGUCAGGGAGAAUUAGGAAUUAGCUAUCACUUCUGGUAGUUUGUUUUUCUUAUCGACUGGGACGAAUUGAAUCUUCUUAACUCUCGGAGACGAUGGCCGAGACUCUUGUUUCAAUUUUGUGUGGAUUUUGUUCAUCAAUUAUGAACUAAUUUCCUCACUCUAGUCAAGGGACAACGGAUGCUUUGGGUCGCCUAAAAUUGUGAGAUCGAUUUAAUUUUAUAUUUUCUUUUUAUUUAUUGGUAUUCGCAUAUUUCCUGGUUACAGUGCUUAUGAUUGUUUAAUUAAUUGAUUGUCUUGGGUCCGGAUAAUUAGUUAAUUUGAUAAUCUAUUGUCAAUUGGGACGUUAAAUCCGUAAUUGUUUAAUUGUCUCAAAAUAGUGAUAACUGGCAUGAGUGGGUUUGUGUCAGAGGAAUAUGCGGGCUAAUCUGAAAUAACCCUGGUAAUGCGUUAUUUGGUUAGAAUAGGGCUCAUCUAAUACGUAAGGCAAUUGGAGAAUUAAAUUCUAUGGGCGUACCUAGGAUUAUUUCUCAAUUAGAGUAGUGAUUAACGGGCGUACCUUAAUCACCGACACAGUAAGGAGGGGUUGACUGUCAUCGCUUAUUUGGUAGUUAUAACCUAUUUAUUGAUAAAUAAUUGAAAGUGCCUUUGUUUCGAUGAUCAAUUAGGUGAACCAUUGCUGAAGUUAUUCCUUGGCUAGAUCUUUGAUUAAUUUUACCUUGAUUUUAGUAAAUUGCCAUUUGACUUUUAGUUGCCUAUUUUAUUUUAUUUUUAAUUGUCUUCUUGUUCUAAUUGUUUUGGAUCAUUAAUUAUUGUUACGUUAAGUUUAGUGAAUUGCCGUUUAAUUUCUAGUUAGUAUUUAUUUUUAUUUACUUAUUGGAAUUUAUUUGAUUGUCGUCGUUCCUACAAAAUUACCCCCUUGUGUUACCUUGGAUUUCUUAAGAAAUAAAUAUACCCAAUUCCUGUGGAUACGACCCUACUUGUCCUGUCUACAAAUUCAUAAUUAUUUGUGAGAAAAAAUAACCAUCCCAUUCGGGUAUAUCCGAUCAAGCAAACUCUUCGGGAACAGGGUGAAUCAAAUAACCCAUUGCACACCUAGAGUCCCUGCUCCAGUACUUGAAAUUGGAUUUUGGUCAUUUUAACUGGCAAUUAGGUUUAAUUUUACUAUUGUACAGGCCUCGACGCUCUGUCAAUUUUUGGCGCCGUUGCCGGGGACUGGCGUUAUUAUUUGUUUCUUUUAAAUUCAUUCUUGUUUUAAUUUUCUAGUGCUUUUCUAGUGUAUGCCUCGGUCUUCUCGUACAGGUGAUUUGAUUUUUGACCCUGAAGUAGAGAAGACUGCGCAUAGAACGAGAAAGAAAACCAGACAGUUCAAAAAGGAGCACUCCAGUGCUGCAUCUCAGAGACCUGAGCCAGAAGUUGAACCAAUAGAUUUGUUUGAUGACACUUCAAGUGACUCUGACUAGGAGAAAGGAACCAUGGCUAAUGCACGAAUAUUAAGGGAGUUGGCUGCUCCUAACUUAAAUCAGCAGCCUUUGUGCAUUACUUUCCUAAAUUUAGAUGAUAGCAUUCCAUUUGAAUUAAAAUCUGGCCUAAUUCAUCUUUUACCUUCCUUUCAUGGUUUACCAGGUGAGGAGCCGUAUAAGCAUCUGCAGGAGUUUGAUGUUGUGUGCAACAGUAUGAAACACCCGGAAAUCACAGAAGAGCAAAUAAAAAUGAGGGCAUUCCCCUUUUCCUUGAAGGAUUCUGCAAAGGACUGGCUGUACUACCUGCCACCAGGUAGCAUUACCACGUGGGACUAAUUAAAGAAAAAUUUUUUGGAUAAAUAUUUUCCUGCGUCCAGGACUGCAAGUCUAAGGAAAGAAAUUUGCGGGAUCAAGCAGCACCCAGGGGAGUCACUCUAUGAGUAUUGGGAGCGAUUCAAGAAGUUGUGCAACAAAUGCCCUCAGCACCAGAUAAGUGAGCAGUUGCUCAUACAGUAUUUUUAUGAGGGCUUCUUUUCAGAGAUAGGAGCAUAAUUGAUGCUGCAAGUGGAGGGGCACUGGUGAACAAAACCCCUCGGAAAGCACGGGCGUUAAUAAAGGGGAUGGCAGAGAAUUCGCAGCAAUUUGGUACGAGGGAGGAUGCUCCGAUACGCAAAGUGAACGAGGUAGAGACAUUCUCUAUCCAGUAGCAGUUGACUGAAUUGACUUCUUUUGUUAGACAACUGGCUAUAGGAAAUGCAUAUCAGGUCAAGGUGUGCGGGUUUUGCACUGGUAUGGGUCAUUCUACAGACAUGUGCCCAAUGAUUUACGAAGAAAGUGCAGAGCAAGUGAACAUGGCUGGUCACGCGUCCGCGCCAAGAAGGCCCUAUGACCCCUAUUCAAGUACCUACAACCCUGGUUGGAGGGACCACCCUAACCUCAGUUAUGGAGGGAACAGGCAGACUAACUUCGUGCCAAAUAAAUAACAAGGGUACCAGCAGCAGAACCAACCUCGACCAGCUCCGCCCCCAAGCUCUGGUCCAUUUUUGGAGGAAAUGAUGAAACAACUGAUGGCAACCAUUACGCAAAAUCAGCAAAGGACGGACUCUGAAAUGCAGGAUAUAAGGAAUCAAAUGAGUCAAAUGGCCACAAAAAUCAACCGUUUGGACUCCCAAGUAAAUGGAAGAUUGCCAUCCCAACCUGAACUGAACCUGAAGAACGUAAGUGCAAUGACUUUAACGAGUGGGAAGGAAAUUCAGGGGCCCGAACUUGUGACUCCAAAGGAUAAGGACGAAGAGAAGAUUGAGAAAGAACUUCAAGCAGAGAAUACAAGUACCAAAAAUCCAGUGGUACUCCCUGAUCCGAUCAUAGACGUUAAAACUAAUCCCACUCCAUUUCCUUGCAAGUUGGAGAAAUCGAAGAAACAGGACAAUGAGAAAGAGAUCUUGGAGGUGUUCUGCAAGGUAGAGAUCAAUAUUCCCUUACUAGACACCAUCAAGCAAGUGCCGAAGUAUGCAAAAUUUCUGAGGGAUCUAUGUGUCAAUCGAAAGAGGCUGAGGGAAGAUGAAAGAGUUAUUGUUGGGGAGAAUGUGUCAGCAGUUCUCCAAAGAAAACUCCCACCAAAGUAUGGGGAUCCAGGUAGAUUUACUGUCCCAUAUAAGAUAGGUAAUACUCUGAUUAGGAAUACCCUGCUGGAUUUAGGAGUAUCGAUCAACGUAAUGCCUAAAUCUAUGUAUGCUUUUUUGAACCUCGGUCCAUUAAAAAAAUCGAGAUAAUAAUUCAAUUAGCUGACCGAACAAAUGCAUACCCUGAUGGGUUGGUAGAGGAUGUGCUGGUUAAAGUUAAUGAAUUGAUAUUCCCGGCUGACUUUUAUGUACUUGACAUGGAUGAUGAUCAUUCCCCUAACCCCUCACCUUUGCUACUAGGUAGACACUUUUUGAGCACAACACAGACAAAAAUUGACGUUAAUAAGGGUACAUUGUCCAUGAAAUUUGAUGAAGAACUAGUCCACUUUAAUAUUUUCGAUACAAUGGAACAUCCUGUUAACUCUCACCCUGUGUUUGCUAUUCAUGCUAUUAAUCCCUCUGUGCAAGAAUUUUCUGAAUUUGCUUGUAGGGAUAAAUUCAAAUUUAUUGAGAACAAGUAUAAGGGGAUGAAAGUAUUGUAUGAGGUGAAAAGGAGUAGAAAAUUAAGAAAGAAAGCUGCACUCAAAGGCUAUUUGGAUCCUGGAGGAGGGCCACCGAUUUCCAGGAAAAUUGAGUUACACCCAAAUUGAAGAGUGGUGUUCAAUGUCUAGCCAAACACAUUAAAAAAAGGCGCUCAUUGGGAGGUAACCCAAUUGUUUCUUUUAAUUGUUUGUUUGAUUUCGUGUGAUAGUUUAAAUAUGUUUUCCUUGAAUUUGACUGAUUUCGGGUUUCAAUUUUCGUUUUUGAUGAUUUGUAGGUGUCCUUCUAUCAUGACAUGCCCGCGUCAUGACGUAUGGAGAGCUCACGGUCAGAAUCGUCAGAAGGGAUUCCUGCCCUCAUGACGCGCCCGCGUCAUAACGUAUAGAAAGCUCACGAUCAGAAUCGUCAGAAAGGGUUUCAGUCCUCAUGACGUGCCCGCGUCAAGUCCCAUGAAGAGCUCAUGAUCAGAGAGCUCUCUUGCUCUCAUGACGUGCCCGCGUCAAGUAACCUGAAAAGCUCUUCACUCCGUGCCUUCGUCACAUGCCCACGUCACAUUCGCGGGAAAGGUAAGUAUUCAAAAAAAAACUCAAGAACGAUUAUUGAUUUCCUGUUAAUCUCUACUUUUGAAUUCCAAAAAUAAAUUUUGUUAAUAAUUAAAAAAAAAGAUGAUAUAUGUAAAAAAAAUUCCAAAAAAAAAAAUUUUCAAGUAAGUAACAAGGAGAAAAAAAAAAGGGGAGUCUUUCCGUGAAAAAAAAAAAAAUUUCUAAAAUGAAAAAAAAAACGAAAAAGCAAAAAAAAAAAAAAGCAGAAAUACUAUUUUCUUUUUCUUUUUCUUUCUUCCCUAUUCUUUCUUUUCUUUCCUUUUCUUUUUUCUUCUUUCGAAUUUGUGGUUCAAGGCAUGUUGUGGAGAGCACAAGGCAUAUUUUCCUCAAUUUGAACCAUACUUCAGGAAUUAAAAUAAUUUUUUCUUUUUUUAUUUUUCUUUCAAUUUAUCUAAUUUUUAAUAUUCAUUUUUAAGAUUUAAAAUAAUUAUUGAUUCAAAACUAUUAUGGAAGCAAAUAUAUGGUUUUUAUAAAAUAAUAAACAAAAACUUUUUUCUAUUUUUUUGGAUUGCUUCAAGGUUAAUAAAAUAAAAAUAUGUUCUUUUUUUAAUGCAGCAUGGCCUCAAUAAGGGCAUUUUCGGUAUUAAGGGGAUUUUUGUUAAAUGUUUAAUCAUUCAAAGGGUGAGACCGUUAUUUGGACAAAUUACAGGGAUUAAUUGGUAAUAUGGUCAAAUCUCAGGGGAGGUAAAUGUAAUUAACCCUAUCUUUAGUUAUGAUAAUCCGCUUGCGAUCAUUACUGAUUUCACAAUCACUGUCUUUGGAUACCAUUCUAUGAAACAUUUCCAGUUUUUUUUUUUUUUCUACUUGUAAUUGAAGAUAAUUUCCACAGAACUAGUCAAUAAUAAUCCACCAUCAACUGUGAGAAAGCAAAACACCUACAAAUCAAUUGCAAGUGCGAAGGCUCUGAUUUGGUGCUGAAUUGGGCACUUAUUCGUGCCAAUUCAAUCCUAAAUUUUCCUUCCCCAUUCUUCAACCUUUCAAUAUCCAGUUACAAGAAGAACAAAAAAUAGUGAACAACCAUCAAUUCAGUUUUGGCAUUUUUCCAACAUGCUUGCUUGAUUGCUAUGACCGUAGGGCAGUUUCCUUUUUCCGUUAAUCUAAUUCCGUGAUGGGUCAAUAGAAAAUUCAUCCGAAUUCAGUCUUUCUCACGUAAGAAGAAUAUAUGAUUACAAAUGACCAAAUAAAUUAAAGAGGGACAAAUUCAAGAAGACCAAUAAUAUAAAAAUUCCAAACAUCCAUAGGUUGCACACAAUAAUUCUCACAAAUUUUAAGUUAUAAAAAAAGAAAUUUUGCAAAGGAGGGCCCUACUUCGAUGCUGGCACCGUGACGAUGAACUGCCAGAUUGGGGUCUCUUUCAUGUUUUGGUUUAUCCUUUUUAGGGUUGUUAAAAAUUAAAUUUGGGGAGAUAAGGUUGACGAUUGAUGAAAUCUGAUGAAGAAAGUUGUUUUUUCUAUGGCAUAUUGAAGAAUGGUGGUAUAUUCGAUCAAUGGUAUCCAAUAGUCUUGAAAUAGAAACACAAUUUUUUUUUUAUUUAAAAGAGACUUUUGUUUGUUUUUUAAAUUGAUAUGCAUCACAAAGUGUAUCCUUUUUAAGUUAAUUUUGAGCAAACCUCUAAUGAGUUCCUUUGUGAAAAUUUCAUUUAAUAAAUCCAUAUUGAAAUGACAAAGCCUUCUAUUCCGCAGUUAAGGAUCAUCAUUUGUAACCUUAAGACACUAAUCUUACUAUCAUCAAUUUUUCAAGAUAUAUCACAUAAAUAUCAUUGUAUCUUUUGCCUUUGAAUACAACAUUAAAAUUAGUAUCAAGAAUCAAAUAUUCAUGCCUUUUAAACAAUACAUAAAGAUAUCUAUCACAUAAUUGAUUAACACUGAACGAAUUAUAGCUUAAGUUAUGAACCAAAACAAUAUUUUGAAUGAAAGUGUCACCGUUUUUGUCAAUAUCUCCUAUUCAAAUGGUUUUAACCUUCAUGUCAUCUCUAAAGGUGAUCUUUUCACUACUUUCUAGCUUGAACUUGAUGAAUAGAGGUGGAAUACCAGUCAUGUGCCUUAAACACCUAUUAUCAAUGAACCACUUUAAUCCUUUAGUGGUGUUCUUCAAGUAUACCUAUAUAUAAAAAUCAAGAAAUGAUAUUUGGUACCUUUUUAUUAUUUGAUCCGUAAUUGUUAGUACAAGAUUUAAAUAUCCACAUGCUAUUAGGAAUACUAAUUUCUUAUCCAAGUGGUUUCUUUCCCAACAAAUCUAGUGAAUUAUAAAUAAGACAUUAUUUAGGAUGUUUUCUAGAGAGAGAGAGUGUAGAAAAAUUUGUUAGGUUUUCUACAAUGGUUUUACUUUUUUUUACGAUUUGAGAUUUCAAUAAUAUUGUGAGUUGAUUAUUUUCUUCUCUCCUACACUUUUUUUGAACGUCUAUUUUAUCCCUUCAAUCCUAUAACCCUACACACAUUGGUUAUUAUUAAAACCCUAAAAUUUAGGUUCCACAGAUCUCAGAUGGUAGAGGAUUCCAAUGACUAGAGAAAACUAGGAGUUCUGUACGGAACGGAAUAUUUCAAUGAACAUCUUUUUUUAGGUGUUAAUGGAGUUUAUUAUAUGGCAAAUUACACUUUACCCUGUGAUUUAGUGUUUUUCUACAUAACCCCCCUAUAGUUUCAAAAGUUAUACAUAACUCCCUCAUGAUUUGGAUUAAAGUGUCAAAGUGACGGAAAUGAGUAUUCAUAACGGAGUCAUUUAAAAUGUCAAAAAUAUCCUUAUGUAAAAUUGAAAAUUAUUUGUUAACCAAAGGGGGUUAUGUGUAUAUUUUGAAAAUCAUAAGGGGGUUAUAUGAUAAAGUAUUAAACUAUAAGUGAGUUAUAUAGUAAACUAUAAAAUCAUACGGGGUUAGUGUAUCAUGUAUUUAUAAAGGUAACUUUGACGUUUUUAAAGAUUCUGUUACGAAUGAUAAUUUCCGUUACUUUGACACUUUAAUUUAAAUUGUGAGGAGGUUAUAUAUAAUUUUUGAAACUAUAGAGAGAUUAUGUGAAAAAUCGCUAAAUGAUAGGAGAGUAAAGUGUAAUUUGCCCUUUAUUAUAUAGUUAGUGUGUUUUGGUAACUCUUUAGUGAUUUGACAAUGCAUGUGUUGGGUUUAGUGGUCGUUUUGUCCUCUGCUACUUUCGGGUGAAUUCUUGUUUUUUCAAUAAUAUCGUGUUUUAUCAAACAACAUCGAAUCAACAAUAGCUAUAAAUAUCUUGACUGAUCAUGCCGACCGUACUACUAUCAUCUUUCUGUCUGUAUCAUAGAGAGUGUUUGGAUAGAAUAUUAUUUGAAAUGUUAUUGAAAAUAAUUAAUGUAACACUUUUUGUAAUAUAAUGUAUGUGAGAUAAAAAUAUAAUUAAAAAUAUAAAAAAUAGAUUGAGAAAUAUGUUUAUGAUACAAAUAAAAUAUUAUUUAACAAAAUUGAGUUAUCACGGCUCAAGUGGGGGCUAUUGCCCCUACUUAAGUUUUAAAAAAAAAAAACUCUAUAAACAAAUUUAGACACUCUCUAACUCAAAAUCGACAUUUCUGUCUUAUUAAAAUAGAUAAAUAGACAGGUAUAGUGGCCUUCUCCUCAUUUUCUUCUUAUCUUCUAGUAGCGACAUCCAUGGACCAGAUUGAAAAUAUAAUGCUGUUUUUAUGCGUUUUGCCGUUUACAUGAGCUUUGAUACCAAAAUGACAAAACACAUAGGCCCACCAUUGGCUCCUUUUCAAGUAUUCCUUAAAAACUUUCGAAUUAUCAUCGCUAAAUGAACAGGGCAAAGUUGGGAUAUUGAGCAGAUUUCCUUCUUUUUUUCUAACAUUUUCUUGACGAAAGCAGAUUUCCUUCUUCAAUGCUUUUUCUUUUUAGCUGAUAAGACGUUUAUGUUGAAAAAUUGCUAUUGCUACUGAUCGAGAUGCGGCGCGACAAAUAGGUUGGGAAGGAGGUAAUAAUAAUUAGUACGUGCUCCAAUGCAAACACAUGUGAGUAGACACGGAAAUAACUAUUUUAUUGAGUCUCAAAUAUUCAGCGAAUUUCUAGAAAUAAUACUAAAUUUAGAAAAUUUUCUCCACUUAGAGUUGCCGUAUUUUUCAAAUGUAGCAACAACAAAACAGUAUUUUUAUUUUGAAUUAUUUUUUGGUGUCACAAAUGCGGCGACAAUUAAAGAGUAUUUUUUUUGAAUUAUUUUUUGGUGUCAGAAUGACUAAAAUUUUUUAUUUUUUUAUACAUCUUCGCGGGCGACUGUGAAAAUGACCAUUUGGAUGCGGCGACACCAAGAUGUGAGAAGUCUUAACCGUCAAGUUUCUUUAUAUUAGAUCUAAAUUUUAUCAGAUUUGUUGUUGAAGCUGAGAUUUCUUAGAUCUAUCUCGUCGGAUCUCACUUUAACAUUAGGCUUAAAUCACUUCAUUAGCAUAUCUCGGAGGAAGCAAACGGUACAUUUGAAAGUAUUUUUGAGACUAUAAGUGCUUUAUUAUUCGAUAUUUUUCGAGUUCUGCAGUACAAUUAUCUAGUAUAUAUUUGAAAGUAUAUUUUGUUGGUUUUUCAAAACUGUAAUAUCUAGUAUUUGUUCUUCGAAUAUGUUGCCACUAGUACGGAUUUGAUAAAAUGAUGAUGAUUUUAUCCCCAAAAAAAAGACUAUAGAAUUAAGCCCGUACAAAUGCUUGGGCGGGGGGGGGGGGUUGUGUAGGCAGUGGGUAGUAAAAGGUUGUGGACAAAAUUGAAGAAAACAAAUUAGUAGGGCACAACGUGACAAAGUUUUUCAUAAAGUAUAAGACCAUCAACGAACAGGUAUUGUGAAGUGAAAUGAAAGAGACCUUGAAAACUUAUCCUCCUUAAAAAAAAAAAAAAAAAAAAAAAAUUAUCUUCACAAAAAUUUCAAGGUCAUCCAGCCUGCAACAUUCAUGUUUGCAUUGAAGAUUGUUCAUGUGUCAAUCACGAGUCUUUGUCUAUAUCUCCUUGUGCCAUGAGACUAUAUAGGGCCAGUUUGGAACCUGAGUUUUUUGGAAGUUUGUUUAAAAUUUUACUGUAGUGCACUGUAGAAAUUUUUGAAAAAUUUUUGUAAAAGUUUUUGCAAGGUGAAAAACUUUUUUUUCUUUCAUUUUCUCUUUCUAUUUCUAUUUCUAUUUCUUUCUUUCCUUUUUCUUUUCUUUCCUCCCUUCUUCUUCUUCUUCUUCUUUUUCCUUCCCCCUCCCCCUUCCCCGUUACCUCUGUCUCCCACCUCCAGCACCUCCGCCAGCACCACCUCUUUUUUUUUUUUUUUGCUUUUCUCCUCCCCCCCCUCCCUUUCCCUCUCCCUCGCUCUCUCCCGCCACCCCUAAACUUUUUCACCAUCCCUUUCCUCUCCCCUCUGCUCGCCACCCCCUCUACCCACCAUCCCUUUCCUCCCUCUCCCUUGCUACCCCUCUGCCCCCCACCCCCUAGGCCCGCCACCCCUCCCUCUCCCUCCCCCGCCAUCCUUCUCUGCCCACCAAUGUCACCGCCUGCAUCAUCUCCAUCCGGAAGCCCACGUGAGUUCUGCAGUUCCGACCAUUGUAGAGGUUCCAUCCGUGGGUGCCAGUGUUCCUUCCACUUUCUAUGUCUUCCUCUUCCAACGACAACAGCCGUGUGGUGCAGGGCGGAGCGUGGUGGAGGGGAUGGAAGUGCAAUUGCCGAAGUUCUGACUCGGAUUGCAGCGCCCAGGAAAUGGAGAAUCGCUCAACAAGCUUCUCGUUGCUCGCGCAAUGAUACUUACUCCGGCGAAUUGCUUGGUCGACUCCGGACAACUUUCUGUGCUUUGAAAGAAAAACCGGGAAGAGUUUUGUGUGCUUUUUGUGAAUUGAAAGGGAAAAAACCAGCUUGGACGACGUUGUCUUGUUAAAAUGUUUCAGAAAGGGACGAAAGUUUUGAGAAAAGUUUUUGGGGUUCCUGUAGCAUAAGUUGUUAAAAAACUAGUAUAAUACAAACUUGCUCAAAAACUAGGCUUCCAAACAGGCCCUAUCAUGUAGAUAUUGUAAAUUAAUAUGGUUCUUUUUCUUUUUUCAGUAAUCUAUCCCUAUCAAAAACUUAGAAUGUCCAUUCUCUAAUUUAUAAAAUUAUAAAACUAUAUACUAUUUACUUUUCUCAUAUUGUACUUUACCACCACGCACCAUCAAUUAGAGUAAUCCUCAGAUUUAUUGGACAUUGAUUGUUAAGUUGAGCAUGAUAUCAACUAUUUUUACUAUAUUUGUAUUAUAUUUUGUAUUUUAAAUUUUAUAUAGUUGUUUACUUUAACUCUUUUGUACGAAUAUUUGUUAAGAAAAAAAUUUCAAAGACAAAAAAAAAAAAAGCUGAUGCAAGCAAAAGUAAACAACCAGACAUUGCAUAUCCUUCAAUUUGAUUUAUUUUAGCGUAUUUGACCAAAAUUAUUACAAAGGGCUUAAUCCAACCAAAUGUCUCGAGUAGCUCACUAACUAGUUUUCUUGAUUUAAUGCACUUAGUCACACCACGUCUCACUCUCAUUAUAAUUAACAAUGAGAAGGGAUCCUCUUGAAAACAUCAGAUGCAGAAGAAAGCCACUUGUUAUAGACCCAUACCUUGGUCCGUAUCCAACGUCAAAUAUAUUUGUUUGGAUAGUAAACUUAUUCCAAAUAAUAUUUCGCUUGCAUCAUAAACACAUUUUUCAACCCAUCUUUUUAUAUUUCCAAUCACCUUUUUAUUUCGCAUACAUCACGUCACAAAAAGUACUACAGUAAUUAUUCCAAAUAAUAUUUCAAAUAAUACUCUAUCCAAGCAAGAACUAGGAACAAUCCAUAUGUUUACGAAAGCAGUUCUAGCAAUUGGUCAGAUCUAAUGGCCUGUAACUCACAUCGUAAUAUUUUAUAUUUUAUAAUUCUGUUAAAUUUAAUGAUUUUUCAAAUUAGAUAUAUCUUUCAUAUGUUUUAUAUAUUUUCUGCCAUUACUGGUCUUUUUUCGUCAAACAAAUCGUGAUAGAUGAUUUUCAAUUAGUUUAUUAAUAAUAUUGACUCCUAUUUUAUCAAAAAAAAAAAAAAAGAACUAGGAACAAUCGAAACAAUCACUAGGCACAGGCACAUACCAGAAGGAUGUUGCUUGAGCUUAUCAAUAUGAACCCACGCAAUCAGCAGACUGCCUUUUGCCGAUGCCGCACUAAGGCUUCUUAAGUUUAUUUUAUCAACUCAACAAUCCAAUAUCCAAUGACUUUGGAAAAACUGUGUGGAAAUUUAUCCUCAAACGAGAUCAAGAUCUAUGAAGUUUCACGAAACCGUGCUCAUAGGACUAGGGUCUUGUUUGGUAGAUAAGUUUUUUGUCAAAUUUAUCUGUUACAAGUUUUUUAAAAACUUUAACUACAAUAAUCUCAAAAAACUUCUCAAAGUUUUUAAACUAUACACAUUAAAAUAUUAAAAAAAACACACUUUAAAAUUUUUUUUAAAAACUUCUACAGUAAGUUAUAGUAAAAUUUUAAACAAACACCCAAAAAAUUCACUUGCCAAACGUUGUCAUUACACUCUUAUAUGUCUUCUCAUCUUUAAUUACUGAUGUCACAGUCACUAUCUUAGGAUGCCAUUCUAUGAAACACGUAGUUUAAGCAUUUUUGCCAACAUGCCAUGACCAUAAGGCAGUUUCAUUUUUUCCUUUAAUCAAGCUUGAUAAUGAGUCAAUACAAAAUUCUCAUCCGAAUUCAGUCUCCCUCACGUAAAAAGAUUAUAUGAUUACAAAACUGCAUACAAAUGACCCAAAAAAAAAAAUUUAAGAGGGACUGAUUCAAGAAGUCUAAGAAAUAAAAUAUCCAUACAUCCAUACCUUGGGCUCUUUUUAAAAAUUUUUUUUUAUUAUGCUGUUUUGGUUUAUCCUCUUUUGGGGGUUUCAAAAUUAAAUUUGGGGAGAUAAGGUUGAUGAUGUGAUGAAAUCUGACGAAAAAAUGGUUGUUCGAAGGACGGUAAAAUUAAUUGAAGAGCGGAUGAAUUGAUACUGUAGCUGCAGAAGGUAAAAUUUAAUUACCUCAAUUUGUUCCUUAUUACUCAUUUGCAUGUCUCUCACUUUAGGAUAACCUGCCAUUAUUUGGCCUCUGUGGAUUUGAUGAUCAUCAUUUUAGGAUUUGAUGAUCUCAUUUUAGUUCUGUACGGAAUGGAAUAUUUCAAUGAACAUAUUUUCUUAGGUGUUAAUGGAGUUUAUUAUAUAGUCAGUUUUGGAAACUCUUUAGUGAUUUGACAAUGCAUGUGUAUGGUUAGUUGUCGUUUUAUCAAUAAUAUCGUGUUUUUUCAAUAACAUCGAAUCGAUAAUAGCUAUAAAUAUCUUGACUGAUCAUGCCGACUGUACUAUUCUCAUUUUUCUUAUCAUAUGGAGUGUUUGGAUAGAAUAUUAUUUGAAAUAUUAUUUAAAAUAAUUAAUGUAGUAUUUUUUUAUAAUGUGAUAUAUAUGAAAUAAAAAAGUGAUUAAAAAUAUUAAAAAAUGAAUUGAAAAAUGUGUUUAUUUCUUUCAAAAAAAUUAUGUUUAUGAUACAAGCGAAAUAUUAUUUGAUAAAAUUGAGCUAUCAUGGCUGAGGUGGAGGCUAUUGCCCCUGCUUCAUUUUUUUUUAAAAAAAAACUCUAUAUAUUAUGUAUAUCAAGUAUUUUUGGUCCCACCAAAAAUGAUACAUUUGCGGUCGAUAUUAAUUGGGAGUAAAAGUGCAAACAAAUUUAGAGACUCUCUAACUCAAAAUCGACAUUUCUGGCCUUAUUAAAAUAGAUAAAUAGACUGAUAGAGUAGCCUUCUCCUUCUUUUCUCCUUAUUUUCUAUUCCCUCUGUCCCAUUCAUUUGGUUAUACUUUUCAUUUUGAAAUGUCCCAAAAUAAUUGUCAUGUUAGAAAAGUCAAAUCAACUUUUACACUCUCUUUUCAAUAUAAUCCUUUUUUUUAAUCAUACAUUCAAAUUUAAAAUUUGAAUUUGAGGGGGUAAAAUUGGAAAGAAAAGCACAAACAUCACAAUUAAACCACUAUUCUUAAAAAGUUGGAUUCCCCAAACAUAACCAAAUGAAUGGGACGGAGGGAGUAAUAGCGACAUCUACGGACUGGAUUGAAAAUAUAAUGCUGUUUUUAUUUUCUAUGUCACAAAAUGAUUGUCACUUGCUAAUAUUGACAAACCAUUUUUAUUCAAUUUUCGUCUUUCAACCAACCAUUAAGGUGAAAGAGGAAAGUGUAGAUUAAAGCUAUAAUUAUUGGUUUACAAAGUUGAAAAGUAAGUGGAAAAAUGACAAAACACAUAGGCCCACCAUUGGCUCCUUUUCAAGGAUUCCUAAAAAACUUUUGAAUUGUCAUCACUAAAUGAACAGGGCAAAGUUGGGAUAUUUUUCAGAUUUCCUUCUUCAAUGAUUUUUCUUUUUAGCUGAUAAGACUUUUAUGUUGACAAAUUGCUAUUACUACUGAUCGACAUGCGACGCGACUAAUAAAUUGGGAAGGAAGUAAUAAUAAUUAGUACGUACCAAAUGCAAACACUUGUGAGUAGACACGAAAAUUACUAUUUUAGUGUGUUUUAAAUAUUCGGCGAAUUUCUAGAAAUAAUGCUAAAUUUAGAAAAUAUCCCAUUUAUGGUAUUUCAUGAGAUUGUUUUCUUUACUUAGAGUCAUCUUUGACAAUAAAAUAGUAUUUUUAUUUUGAAUUAUUUUUUGGUGUCAGAAUGACUAAAAGUUUUAAUUUUUUUAUACAUCUUUGCGGGUGACUGUGAAAAUGACCAUUAGCCGCAUCCAAAAAGUGGAUGCGGCGACGCAAGAUGUCAGAAAUCUUAACCGUCAAGUUUUCUUAUUAUUUAUUUGGGAGCAAAUUAUCCCAGUGGCCACUAAACUUUUGCCAUCGUCGAGUUUUGGUCACUCAACUAUUAAAAGGCUGGUUUUGACCAUCAAACUGUAUAAAAGGUAGACUCGAACCCAUUCUGUUAGAUUUAGUCGUUAACUUCGCAGAGGUGUCCGUUUGCGCGAUUUCCAAUACAAAAGGUAGGGUCAAUUUAGAAAGUCGAAAAUAGAUCUUCUUGUUCUUCUUGUAUAAAGCUAAUAAAGAUUACUUACCCGAGAGAAACUACAAGAGAAGGAAAUGGAAGAAGCCCAACUUGGAUUAGAGGAAGCAGGACCAAGAUCAACGCCACCAAGAGCCGGGCCAGCAAGAUCCAUGCCACCUACAUCGUUGACACCCAUUUUGCCUACUUGUGUUUGUGGGAUGAAGACAGUAAUGAUAACUUCAUGGACUGUACAAAAUCCGGGAAGAAGAUUUGCCAAAUGCGCAUUGGGGGAGGUUUGUAACAUUUUUUUAGAUACUUAAUUUAUUAUUGUGUAAGAAAUAUAAUGAAUUUGUUUUUUUUUUAAGGAUGGCUGUGGCUAUUGGGGUUGGAUAGAUGAUGAAAUGUGCGCUCGAUCUACAAUGAUUAUACCGGGUCUACUCAGAAAGAUCAAUGGAAUGGAGGAAAAAAUGGUUGAAUUUGAAAAAGCUGCAAGAAAGUAGGAAGCAAAAGCUGUGAAAUUGGAGGGUAAAAUGAAGCCACUUCAAAUUAAAAUUGCCAAGUACAAAUCAGCCAAUAAGCGACUCAUUCGAUGCGCAGUGUUGCCUUGGCUAAUAGUUGUCUUAGCAAUGUUAGUUAUGAGAAUAGGUAAUUCUGGUGGCAUGCUACAAAUUUGUGGCAUCGUUGAAAAUCCUUGAAGAAUAGCUACUCUGUUGUAAUGGUAGCAUAUUGAAAGGGAAAGGGCAAAUGGCUUUAUAAAGCCCCUUUUGUACUCCUCUGUAUAAACAUUUUGAUGUAUAAAAGUUGUAUUGUUCACAUGAAUAAAUAGUUAUUAUUUGGUGUCAAAAAAGGUUUGAAACAACACAUUUCAGUUCUAUUAAUUUCAUCAAUAAAUGACAAAGACAUAAGAACUAAACAAAAGUGCUGCAUUAACAUAGAACAAUCUGUGUAGAUUGGACAAAAUAAAUUGUUUGUACAUAUGGACCAUGUUCGUAAUAGGUCAGUAUAUCAAAUCCAAAACAAACUUCAUACAAAAAGACAAAAUGUAGUUGAAUUAUGUCCCAAUCUAGCUAUAGCUUUCUUCCUCUUCAAUUUGAUCCUCUUUUGACUCUUGGUUGUCCUCUGGUAGUUGUUGCUGAAGUUCCUCCUCUUCUAAUACCAGUUCUACUCCAUUUUCCUCUCCAAUUUCCAACAGUGAAAGGAGGUUCUUUACUUAAAUAUGCAUAAUUGACAUUGAUCCGCCCCUUUUCUGAAUCUGUUAACUUUCGUUUUCCUGCUUUCCUUUGUUGAUGAGCCCCUUGGCUCUGAGACUGUUGUUGGUUUUGUACAACUUCUUCCUGCUGUCGAUGCUGUGCAUGUUCACUUUCCUCAACAGCAGAUUGUGAUUGCUGUUCUUGUUGGUUCUGCUGAUACUCUUGAUCCUGCUGCUGCUGUUGAUUCUGUUGCUAUUGCUGAUCCUGCUGCUGUUGCUGCUGCUGAUGUUGAUUUUGUUGCUGCUGCUGCUGAUUUUGCUGCUGCUGAUAUUGAUCCUGCUGCUGGUGUUGCUGGUGCUGUUGUUGGGUCUGCUGCUGCCUCUGGUGCUGCUGUUGGGCCUGAUGAUGCUGCAUCUGAUGCUGGUGUUGGGUCUGAUGUUGCCUCUGGUGCUAGUGUUGGGUCUGAUGUUGCCUCUGGUGCUGGUGUUGGGUCUGUUCAUGCUGACUCUGGUGCUGGUGUUGGUUCUGCUGUUGCUGCUGCAUAUUCUUAGAACCACGCUGCUGCUGUUGGUUCUGCUCCUGCUCCUCGCUAUCCUGAUUCUGCUGUUGUUGAUUGUCUUGUUGCUGCACCUUGCAACCAGCUGCAUUAUGGCCGGCAACACCACAUUUUCUGCAAUGGUUGACUAUUCUUCUCCGCAACCUGUUUCCAGUCUUUUGAGUUUCAGUAGGAUCUCUUCUCCUGGCCUUCUUAGGUCUGCCAGGUUGCACUAUCCUUUCUGGUGGAUCAAGAUCUACCCCAUCAGCUUCAGGCCACAUUACUUGUCCAUUGAUAGGAUACAAAACAUUUUUGUAAAUUUUUUGAAACAGAUCUCUGUUGUAGCAGUCAUACACCUCUUUAUAGGGGUCGCCAUUAUUUCUGUGAAUUGCUGCAAUAGCAUGACAGCAAGGAAUACUUGAUAGAUCCCACAGUUUGCAUGUGCAGGAUUUUUUCUUUAAAUAAACAGCAAACUGGGCCCCCCUUGGUCCCCUAACCUGGUAUCCAUCCACAGCAUUCCAAAUGGUCCUCCAUUGUCUUGAUUCUAUCACCCUAUCAUCAAUUAUUUUUUUAAUUAGUGGGCCAAUGGACAAUUCAAAUUUCUCCAUUGCAGUUGUCCUUCUCUGUAUCCUCUCCAUCAGAAAUAUCCUAAUGGACUCUAACAUUGUGAUAAUUGACUGCUGCCUAGCUUCAAGUAUAUGACCAUUAAAACUUUCACACAAAUUAUUAACCAACAUAUCGCAUCGAGUAUGUUCUUAAAAAAAAGUCUUACACCAAUGACUGGGAUGUGGUGCUUUCUUCACCCAUUCAUAUGCUUCCUUGUCAAAUUUUUCCAGAUCUGCUGCUGCUUUCUUGAAUAGUCCCUCAGUAGUACUUGCUGCAAUGUUCCACAGUUUUGUCUUCAGGGCAAGUCCACGAUGUUUCUUCUUGAAGUUGUUAUAUAGGUACUGCACACAGUAUCUGUGCUCACUGUUUGGUAGUACCUCAGAUAAUGCUCGGUCAAGACCCUAUAAAUUAUUACAAACAAAAGGCAUUAGUAAAUUGAAACAGAUCCGUGUACAGUGCAUAUACAAAGGGAAGGAGUUAAUACCUUCUGCUGGUCAGAAACAAAGGUGUAGCUGUACCCAUUUUCAAUCUGCAAGUCAUUCUUCAGCAGCUCAAAAAACCAUUUCCACUGUUCAGUUGCUUCCCUCUCAACCACUGCCCAAGCAAUGGGCCACCAUCCAUUGUUGGGAUCUACUCCAAUAGCAGUCAACAGAUGUCCCCGAUAUUCAGCCUUUAUGUGGCAUCCAUCAACCCCAAUAAUGGGCCUACAACCGUCAAGAAAGCCUUGUUUUAAUGGUCCCAAACAGCAAUAAAGUCUCAUGAAUUUUGGGUUGCAUCCAGGUUGUCUGAAGGGAGUAAACAUAACUUCCAUUGUGGUAUUUGGGUGUGUCCUCUUAAUUUCUGCACAAUAUCUCCAUAUGUCCUUAUAUUGCUACUCUGCAUUCCCUUGAAUCUCCUUUUUAGCAAUUGUCCUUGCAUUGUAUGCCACCCAUUUUGAAAUUUUCGCUUUGAAGUCCUCAUCAACUAUUUGUUUUAAUAAUCUUGGAGGCAUUUCAACAUUACAUCUAAAUCUCUCCAUGUACUUGUUUGCAAGCCACUUAGCAGAAAUAUUCUUGUUCUUCCAUACAUGACUGCAGUUUGUGUGCUCAUUAUUCAUGCUCUUGACAACCAAAUCAGCUAUUCCAAGUUCCCUCUCAACUGAAGCAUAAACAAACCAUUGGCAAGGAGGUUUGCAUUUUGCUCUAAACCUUUUUUUUCAUUUGUGUAUGGCUUUACUGGUUUUCCUUUCAUGAUGGAAUAUGUUCUAACAGCUAAUCUUAGCUGUUCAGCUGACUCAAACUUCAUUCCUAUGUGAAACUCAAAAUUAGGGUCUUUUAGAUCUCUCUCCGGAUUGAAAUCAACAUACCUAUUCCUCCAGUCAUCAUCAUUCUCUUCAUCUGAGGAGCCAGCAUCACUAUGCAACUCAGUCACCACUGUGUCUUUAUUUAAUGCAUGGACAUCAUCUAAAUGAGGAGCUGCCUCUUCUCCUGAUGCUCUAUUGUUGUUUCUUCUCCUUCUAACUUGCUUCUUCCUCCGCGACUGUUGGUUUCCAGUUCCCACAUCCGUGGAUUGUUCUUCAUUUGUCUCAGGCUGCUGCUGAUGUUCAAAUUCAGUUUCAAGUCCUGAUUGUUGUGACCAUGGAUCCAUCCCAGCUGUUUGUUGUUGUCUGCCUAGCUCAUCUACAACUGAUUCUUGCUGUUGUGCAGCAUUAUUACAAUCAUCAUUAGAAUUGGGAUGUUGUGAAGAUCUAGGUUGCUCUGUAUUUGAAGAAUCCACACCAGAUUUUAGCCCCUCAACAAUCAAUUCUUCUAACAUUUCUUCAUCCCUACAGAAAUCCCUAUCAGCACUAAAGCGAUCACAGUCUCCAUCCGAAUCAGUAUCAGUCUCCACUUGGCCAUCUAUAUUUCCUCUAUCAUUUGCAUCCCCAUCAUCCCCAUUAUUCAAGGCAUUCUCUUUAGAAGAGUUCCCAACAUCUAUCUUGCCAAUUGAUCUUGUAAAUGGCACUAGUUCAAAUCCAGGUUCCCUAAUAACAUUUCCAUUUUCGUCAAGUUCCUCGAUGGUGACUGCGGCUUUUUUACUCAACUGUAGAUCAGAAGGAAGGGACUUUGUGGCCAUCAUCUUGAUUUCAUUCUUUGACUGGUGGUCACAGUACACCUCCAUGAUUUUAUGCUUAUAAGCCUAAUUGCAAAAACUGAUAAUGGCUUUAUCAGUAGAUAAUUCCUUCAACCCAUUUCGAAAAUCUUUUCCAGGCUCAACAUAGUAAUACACCAUACAUCCAUAAUGCCCUAAUUUAUCCACCAUGUAGUUUAUUUCAUGCACAGACAUUGUUUCCGCAUCACAUAAAUCAACAUAAUCUACAUGCCCAUCAAUGUAUCUGUAAUUUUGCCAAUUGAAUUUACCCCCAUGAUACAUUCGUAUGGUGAACAGAGAAGAACCUGGCACUGCAUGACAUGCGAUUAGUUAAAAAAAUUAAAAUUUUAGUCAAAACUAGUAAACCCAAAUUCAAUGAAUGAAUUAUUUAUUAACCCUUUUUUCCAGCAUUAAGAAUACUUUAAUCAGUGUACUUUGAAAUCUCUAUGCUUUAUUGCAAAAAGCCAAAACAACGAUAAAAUGUAGCCCAUACAUACAUGAAACACACAAUCUAUUCUGGGAUGUGGAUAACUAAACAAACUUAGGGAUUUUAAAACUUUACCGUAUGCAUCAGAUGGAUCAAAAUGCUGGCCCCUUGGUCUAAUCACCCACUUGGGCCACUCCAUCGUUCCACGAAAUGAAGAUCUUGUUUGUCAACCCGUUCUGCUGUCGCUCAAUCCCCCAAAAUUCUUCGUUGUUGCGUUUUUCUUUAAUUGUCAAUUGUUUGAUGUUUGGGUUUAGGCAAGGAAGAAGAAGAACAGAUGCAUGGGAGAGGAAGAAGAGGUGCAAGUGAUAUUUUCGACUUCCUAAAUUGACCCUACCUUUUGUAUUGGAAAUCGCGCGGACAGACACCUCUGCAAAGUUAACGACUAAAUUUAACAGAAUGGACUCGAGUCUACCUUUAAUACAGUUUGAUGGUCAAAACCAGCCUUUUAAUAGUUGAGUGACCAAAACUCGACGAUGGCAAAAGUUUAGUGGCCACUGGGAUAAUUUGCUCUUUAUUUGGUUCAUGGAUAUGUGAUCGGUAUUUGCCAAAUUUGUCAAACACAUGCCCAACUUUCUAUAGGGAAAUUUAGGAAUAAUUUUAGAAGCUUCCCCUAAAGUUUCUAAUAAUUUUACUAUCCUUUCCUAAAAUUUUAAAAAUAUUAUUAACCUCUUUUAAAACUAAUUUUCUUGUGACAAAUUACUAGGACCGUCAAUGACGCCGAACCAACUAGAGCUCAACCUAUUUGGCCCCAAAAAAGAUCCAUGAGUCUAAAGUAUAAUUGAAUCGGGCAAAGUUUUGAUCUAAAUAUUAGAUCCGGACAAAAUGUAAGUCAAAUUUGAGUCAUUCUAGGUUCAUGCCUGAUUAAAACUACACCCAUGUAUGAGUAUAAUUAUAUAUGUAAAAUAUAUAUGAUAAUAUAUAUAAUUUAUAAUUAUUUAUACUACAUAUACUACAUAUAAAUGCAGAGGAGGGUGUUUGGGGUAAACAAAAAUCUGUCACUUUAUAUACUUCAUGAACUACCCUUGAUGAUGAAGAAACUUUUGGUAUAAACAAAAAUUUAUCUUUCUUUGAUAGCUACCCACUACCAAUAUGAUUUUUACCAAAUAAUAUGUAUUUUUUCAUAUUCUAUUUUUCAACUUAUUUAGUAACUCUUAAUUUUAAUUAGCAACUACCAAUUAUGGUUCUGAAUAACUAUUAAAUAACUACUUUUUAUAACUUUUAUUAUUUUAAAAUUUUCACAUAUGUAUUUUCAAAAUAUAAAAUCAAUUUUCUUAAAAAUUAUUUUAAUAAAUAUACUCAAUAUAUUUUACAAAUACUUUUUCUAUUAGUUGCACACACAUUAGUAUGUGUCUUAAAUACUAGUACAUAUUGCGACAUAAAAUGUUAAUAAUUUAUAUGUAAAUUUGCAUUAAUUCAUAAUUAUAAAGUAUAUAUUAUAUAUAAUUAUGUAUUUAAUUAUAAGUUUGGGCCAAACCCGAUUUGAUUCUGAAACUCAUAUAAUAGUGUGAGUUGAGAUUAAACCUUUUUAAUAUAAACAAGAAUCCCAAAAGCUUGAAACCUGAAAAUUCAUAUAAUUUGUGAACUAAGUUUGGGCUUGCUAAAGUCCGAUUGACACCACUACAAAUUAUCCCAAUUCGUAAAAAAAUUAAUAACAAAAAAAUGUGCAUUCAUUUUUUUUGUUAUUAUUGGUUUGAAAUUAAUACUAAUAAAAAGCUAUUAUUCGUUUGAAAAGCUAUUCUUUUUUUUUUUAUUAUUCUUCUGUCCUGGAACUUGGAUAUUUGAGUAUAGUAACAUGUGUAUACUGGGGGAAGACCCUUCUGCUAUUUGUGGCAGCUGUUUCGGAAGAUGUAUCCCGAUGAUAAUUCUUCCCGAAGAAAAUGGCAUAGUGGAAUGAGGCCGUAGAGAAUUGUGCAUCGCCACAUCCGCUUUUGGAUGGGCAAAUGGUAAUUUUCACAAAGAUGCAUAUAAAAGAAUAAAAUAUCUUUAGUCAUUCUGACACCAGAAAAAAAAAUUUUCAAAACAAAAAUACUAUUUCGCCCAAAUGCGGCGAUUCUAAGUGCAGAAAACAAUCUCAUCGAACACUUUAAAUGAGAUAUUUUCUAAAUUUAGGAUUAUUUGUAGAAAUUUGUCCAAAUAUCCAUACAAAUUAAACUUGACUCUAACUCUAUGUCCUAAGCUCUAACAAUAUUUGAACUCUUAAAAGUUUUUGGUCCAAGGCUGCACUGCCAUGCUUGCGUCCAAGGCUGCACUGCCAUGCUUGCAUCAACAAAAUAUAUGUUUGGAAGCUCCAAAGUACCGUUUUGUAAAUUGAGUUCAUUGCAUUUAUCUCCCUAGAGGUUUAUCUAAAUCACAGCAAUAAAUCCAUAGUUUUUUUUAAGGGUAAAUAACCUUUUAUCUCUCUAUGAUUUGGUGCUUUACCACAUGACUCUCUUAUAGUUUAAAAAUCUAUAUAUACCACAUGACCUCCAUAUAGUUGAAAAACCUAUAUAUAAUCCUUUCGUGAUUUGGGUUAAAGUGAUACCAUUAGUUUUUCCAUUAAAACUAAUGGUCAAUAGUAAAAAGUCAAAAUCAAACUAAUAAAUUGACAAAUUCACUCUUUCACUACUUUUUUCGUUUUCUUUCUUUUUUUUUUUGUGGAAGCGAAGAGAUGAUUUGGAAACAUAUACUUUGGCCUAUAAAACCUUAAUUUUCUCCAAUUACAAAAGAGAUGAGAGGGAAAUAAAAAUAAAUGAAUAAGAAACAAAAAAGAUGGAAGGGAAAUAUAAAACAAAUAAAUAAGAAAGAAAAAAUACCAAAUCUUUUUUAUUACAAAUAUCAUUAUAGAUUUUUAAACCAAAUCUUUAAUGGUAUUUUCUAGUUCUUAUUUAUCUAUUUUGUAUUUCAAUUUCUUCCUUUUUAUGUUUGGAGGGGAAUAAAAAGAAGUAAUGAAAGGGUAAAUUUGUUAAGUUAUUAGUUUGAUUUUGACUUUUACUAUUAACCAUUUGUUUUAAUGGAAAAACAAACAAUUACAUAUUAACUCAAAUCAUGAGAGGGUUAUAUAUAGGUUUUUAAAUCAUAUGGGGGUUAUGUGGUAAAGUACAAAGGAUAAAAGUUAAUUUAUCCUUUUUCCAAAUCAGCCCAACAUUUUAAAUAGCCAAACAUUUGCCACUGCUCAAUUGCAUCAUUUGCAACAGAAGUUUUUGAAAUUAUCAAAAUACUGAUUUUCUAUCAUCCUUCUUCCAGCCAUUCUUUCAUCUUUCUAUAGAUUAAAGUUAGUGUAACCAAAACUCUAGUCAUAUGACAUCACUAAUAAUAGUAUAUUUCAUUGAGUGUAGUUUCUUGAACCUCCACUAUUAUAUUUUUUACAUUCCAAACUCUUUUCUAUUUCAACGUGCAAAUAAUCAAACUUCGUUUUCCAAAAAACAAAAGUAACUAUCAAUACUGAAUUCAAAUAUAAACAUAAAAUUUUAGGAUUUUUAUACAAAGACACACAUAUGAAAGUUAGAAGUAAAUAUCAAACAAAGACACUUUUCUUGGUUUAAGGAUAGGAAUUUAAUGUCAUGUUUUCUUAAAUUUAUUAUUACAUUUUUAAAAAUUUAAUGCUUUGUUAUGGAUAAAAAUCCGUAAAGUUUAGCUCAAUUUUAUUGUUCCUUACGAAAUUAGAUAUUUAAAUAAAAUAGAUAAUUUGUUGUAUGGAAACAAUGAAUUGGACCAGUGUGGUAGCGACUGAAAUAAGCCAUAUGCAGUUGAAAAAGAAAUUGUUUAUUUUCUUUUAAUCCAUAUUUAUUUUUUUGGAUAUAUUAAGGAGUUUUUUAAGAGUGGCUAUUCAAAGGGUUAAAACACAUUUUGGUCAAAUCUUAGACUCCUUUUUAUUUAGACAAACAUCAAGGGAGAUAAAUGCAGUUUCGCAGAGGGUAGUUUUGUCAUUUCACUACUUCUAAUUGGGUUUAGACACUGACUCAUAAGGGAUAAUUCGAAUUUAGUGAAACCGCAGAGUUUACUCAAUAAUACGGCCAAACCUUAGCGGAAGUACAUGCAUUAACCCUUUUUUAUUUAAAAAAAAAAGAGAUAGAGAGAAUUUUUAUUAAUCAGAUUGCUGAAAAUCGUUCAACAUUGGUUUCUUGACAAAAGCAAGAUGGCGGUAUAUUCUAUAAGGAAUCCACGAAAGCUGAAGAAUUUAGCUAUAGAAUUCAACAAAGCUACAGGAUUUUGGCAUAACAAGUCAAUUCAGGAGCUAUUGUUUUUGCCUCCAUUGUAUCCGAUUUACAUCCACAUCUGUAAUUCUAUAUAGUAUCAGACAAAACCUUAGGAAUAUCUUCUACUACUGGCCCCAUUGUAGAAAAAUCAUCAUCUUCACUAUUCAGCAAUUAAAUAACCGAUAAAGAGUCUCCUUCAAGUGUAAUAUUCGGAGUGAACAGAUUUUAUUGCUGAAUUAAUUGCCUCCUUUGUAGCAAUGGCUUCUUUCCUUCUUCGAUUCAACUGUCCCUUGGGAUAUCGUAGAGUUUAAUGCACCCUCAAAAUCAACAUUAAAUUGAUCCAUCGUACACUACCCCGCAAGAGGAACCUAGAGGUUCCACAUUGGCUUCUUUCAAAGCUACUAGGGAAUUAAUCACAAAGCGAACCAUUGAUAAAGGUUCUCCAUGCUUGCCAUCAAACAAAACCAAGUUCUGAUUGUUCCAAAUCUCAUCACAAAGAGUAGCAAACAGCUCCGAAUCCUCACUUGAAAAGAACUCACAAAAUUUCUGUAAUCCAAAGAUGAACACCAACUGAAUAGGUAUUUUCAUCAAUAUGACACCUUAAGUUUCAAACAAAUAGUGAUAUUAAAGGUUUUAGGAUUUAAAAAGCAAGGAAAUAGAAGGAUAAAAUGAGAUGUGAAUUAUAUAGACAAGUUACCUGUCAAACUAGGAAUUGUAAUUUUAAAAAAAAAACUACUUGAAAAAGCUAAUUAUUUAUUUUUCUUAUUCUUUUUCAUUUAAAAUGUGGGGUUUGUAUGAAAUUUUUGUGGCUCAAGUACUAUUACCACAUUUGAAUUGUAUUCAAUUGAUAAUAGUAAACAAAAUUAAUAUUCAAAUGUAAAGGACUAAAGUGAUAAAGUCACGAGUUAAAGGUCUAAAUAGAUAUUUUGAUAAAAGUUUGAGGACUUCUAAUAUACUGUAACUUAUCUGAAUGUAUAUCACUGGGAUUAGAGUUCUGUUUGCAUGUCAACAAAACAUUUUUUCAAAAUGAAAAUUAUGUGAGGCCUCUACAGUAGAAAAUCAAGCAAUUAAGAAUACUUACGUUACUACUUUGUAUCAUCUAUUUUUCGCCCCUUGAAUAAAGUUCUUUGCAUUCUUCUUGUUAUUGAAGAAGAUGAAACUAGUUAUCUAAAUCGAAAAAUAAAUUUUGGCUUCAAAUUUAAGGUACCAGUUAAACAUAGCAUAGAUUUUGUCAAAGAGUAACAUUAUACAAUAUCGUUAAAUUCAAACUGGAUAAAACUCGGUUAAACUACUAGGAUAGGGGUCAACUGAUCGGAUCAGUCAGAUGGUUCUGAAAAAAUCCACUGAAGUGAGUAUGAUAUUUUAAUUAUUUUAUAUUUUUAUAAGUUUCAAAAAUAUUAAAAUUAAGUUCUUAGUUAUAUUCGGCCAACCAUAAAAAUGUUACAAAAAAUUUAGGCUUGCAAUCAAAUAUACACCUAAAAAUUAUAUAUAAAAAUAUGAAUUCGUGUCUAAAUUAUGUACUUAAAAACUAAAUUAAAACAAAUCAUUCCCAAUUCGAGAUCUUUUUGCUAGGAAUAUGACUUUAUAAUGCAAGUUAGAAUCACUAAUGAUAAAUUGAUAAGAUGAUAUGGAUGAAAACCUCUUGAUUUAGAGAUCAUUGAGGGAAGCUAGUGAUUUUGAUGUUUACAUUAAAUGAGUGACAUUUUCUUAUUUCUAUUAAUAAAUGAAAGUUUUAUACUUUAGCUAACUCAAAUUAUGUUUCGGGAGAACAAGAAAGAAAAGUUUGAGAAUCGGGUCACUAAUUUGGCUUAUUUUUAAUGAUUUUGAUUGAUUUUUUAUCAAAGUAAUUUUAUGCUACAAACUACUUUCGAAAAAAGGUCGGUUCAUAUUCAGACAACAUUGACAUUAUAUGGAUAAAGCAUUUGUGAACAAACUUAUACCAAGACUAGUUGUUAGUUCAAGAGAGUUGGGACAGAUAAAUUUGUGCAAAAAUUAAUUAUCAAAGGGUAAUUACCAUUUCAACUUUUAUAAAAAAUGUCCAUGUUUAAGGAACAAUUGAAGGCACGUCAGUCAUCCAAUUAGUCUAAAGCUAAUAAUUAUAGAACAAACUACAUUGGCAUCAUAUUCUUGACGGGAAAGAACCUCAAGGGCUAUCUAAGCUGGGGUUUUGAUCGUAGAGCUGAGUCUUAAGUGCAACAUCAAAGAUUAUAUUUAACACUCAAUGAAAUAACCUCAUCGUAUUUUCCAAGUUUGAGAAAAAAGAAAUCAAUAAAUUUUGUUAGGGCAAGCAAUAGAAAUUAAAAAAUAGAUUUAAUUAGCUUUUCUAAGUUAUUUAUUAUUCAAUUCUCUAGCAUACAUAUAUUGUAAUUUCGAUAUAACUACUGUAUCUCAUUUCAUCUUGAAACUUUUAAUACCACUAUUUAAAUUUUAAGAAACCAUCUUAGUUGAAACUUCAACAUUAUGAUCAACAAUGCCAAGUCAAAACUUCGCCAUUAUGAUCGAGUCAUAAUUAAUGAUCAACAAUGCCAAGUUACAGCAAUUUGAUUUUGAACUUCGCCAUCCUGAUUUUUUGUCAAUUAUCCUAAAUUUGCACAAAAUCCGAAGCAUCGAGGACCACAUUUGCAAAAGUCAAAAGUUUAGGGACUACAUAAUUCAUAAAAUGGAUCGAUUAUAGCGUAAUUUCCAGCAACUUGGGGGUCUUUUGUUUUGCUGGCUGUAGUCCAUUGGGUGCACGUGAACUUCGUGGGAAAUUGGUGGCGUUCAAUUAUUUAACCUUUGCAAGUUGGUGAGUGGUCUGGCAGCUCUUUUGAUUUUUUUUUUUUUUUUGCUGUAGAUAGGAUUCGAAUAUCCAACCUGCAGUUCAAAAAAAGGGACUUUAGUCCCUAUUUGAUAGCCACUACCUUUCCAAGUUGGCAAGCUGUCUUGUUUACAUAAAGGUUGGGAUUUUACUGUGGAAUAUUUGAAUAUCGAACGAUAACAGUACAAUACUAAAAAAAAAUUUACUGCUAUUGUCUAUUGUGGAUAAUUCAAGCAACUAUUUUAGAAAAUGACUCUCAUAAUUAUGGUCAAGCCAAGCCAAUCCAACAGUGCUCCCAAGCUCGAAAAUACAGCAAAAGGUAAAAUGAUUUGAAACCGGAUCGACAAGUGAAUUGGACGAGCUUCCUAUUUCUGGCUCAAUCAAUUCAACCAGUUCAACUCCGAUUUAAUGAUUUUAUAAAUUUUUAAUUAUAUUAACAUUAAAUAACUUGAAUAAUAUUAAUAUAUGAAAAAUAAUGAAAAAUCGGUCCAAAGGCCGGCUGUUUACUGAUCCAAUAGUGCUCCCAAGCAUGAAAAUAUAGCAAAAGGCAAUAUUUUGAAAUUGGGACCUACAAGUGAACUGGAUGAAUUUUUUAUUCAAUUAAUUUUGCGGUUCAAUCUCUGUUUAGUGAUUUUAUUAUUAUUUUUGUUUAUUUUAAAAUUAAAUUUUUUGGAUAAAAUUAAUAUAUGAGCUAGAAAUAAAAUUUUUGUGUAAAACCAGUUCAAAGACCUUUUUUUUCUUAUCGAUUUUGAUUCAUCUGAUCGAUUUUUGAUCGAAUUUGAUUGAUUCAAUUGAGUUUCUGGGUUAAAUAUAGAAAAACAAAUUAUUCGGGAAAUCACUAAACCUUUUUAAUAGUCAAGAUUUAGCCACUCAAUUAUUAAUAGUUUGUUGUUUUCCAUUAAACUGUUAAUAAUAUAAAUUUUGUGCCAUUUCGUCUAAUUUCACUAUUGACUCUGUUAGAUCUAAGGGUCUAUACAAGAUAUAUUAGUAAUGGUUAAAUCUGGUAGAGUUAAUGACAAAUUAGAUGGAAUUGCCUAAAAUUUAAAUUUUUAAUAAUUUAGUAGGUAAAAAUUACUAUUUAUAGCUUAAUGACUAAAACUUGACUAUUCAAAAAAUUUAAUGGUCGCAGGGAUAAUUUGCUCUAAGAUCUAAGCCAUGGUUGGUUUGACGGUGGCAAAAGGUACACAUUCCACGUUUUUCGGUAAAACGCGGUAUGGUAAAUAUUCUUAGAACUAUUGCCGUAAAUCUGAAAUCACCUAUAAAAGGGUCCAUCUUUGGGCAACCAAUUUCACCCCCAAAUAAAUCCGCGAAACUAACUGAGAAAAAGAAAAAGAAAAUGGCUGCCAGUUUACGACCACUGUUCUUAGCAAUAAUAUCCCUGCUGAUGAUAUCUUCAUUGACCAGGUCCUCAGAAGGCGCUGGAAUCGCAGUCUACUGGGGCCAAAAUGGCAAUGAAGGAAGCCUGGAAGAGGCCUGCCGUAGUGGCAACUAUGACUAUGUAAAUAUUGCCUUUCUGGUAUCCUUUGGCAGUGGCCAAACACCGGAACUGAACUUAGCUGGCCACUGUAUCCCGAGCCCAUGCACCUUCCUGAGUUCUCAGAUAGAGGUUUGCCAGAGCCUGGGCAUCAAAGUGCUCCUUUCUCUUGGUGGAGGUGGUGCCGGGGCAGGGAGAGGGCCAAUCCUGGCUUCUCCCGAGGAUGCUCGCGAUGUUGCAGCCUACCUCUGGAACAAUUACUUGGGCGGUCAAUCAGACUCUCGCCCACUUGGUGCUGCUGUUUUAGAUGGUAUAGACUUUGACAUCGAAUAUGGAUCGAACCUGUACUGGGAUGAUCUCGCCCGGGCACUCUCGGGAUACAGCACAGCAGAGAGAAAGGUGUACUUAUCUGCAGCACCACAAUGCUUCUUUCCUGACUAUUAUCUUGAUGCUGCUAUCAGAACUGGCCUCUUUGAUUUCGUCUGGGUGCAGUUUUACAACAAUCCGCUUUGUCAGUAUGGUACAACCACAGGCAAUGCCGAUAACCUCUUGAACAGUUGGAGUAUUUGGUCUGCCUCUUCAGGCGUUAAUAAAUUAUUCCUGGGAUUACCUGCAGCCGAAGCGGCCGCACCUGGUGGCGGUUACAUCCCACCUGAAGUGCUAGUUGAACAGAUUCUUCCCGUUGUGCAGAGCUAUCCCAAGUAUGGAGGGGUCAUGCUUUGGAGCAGAUACUAUGACCAAAACUACAGUACAGCAAUCAGGCCUUAUGUUAACGGUGAUCCUCUGACUUAUACAACCAAGUCCGUGAAAAAAUCCCAUGCUGUAGCAUGAGUUCCUCUCAUUAUCUGCCGCGAGAUGAAAUGUAGUCCUGGCUGCUUAUGCCAGAGAUCAAUCUACUAAUGAAUAAUGGGCUAUGAGUUCCCAAAUCGAUUAAAAUGUUCAGUAAAUUUCUUCCCGUUUUAACCGCGCUCUCUCUCUCGAAUGAAGGGGUACAAGAUCUAGUUUGAAGAACCAGUUGCACCUUCUCUUUUUUUUAUUUUUUAUACAACAUCUUCUAGAUAAUAAUUUUUCGAUAAUAUUCAAACCACAUUGAAAUUGAAAAAGAAAAUGUUAAUUUGCAAUUGAAGUUUGAGGAACAGUAUCUAUUUCCCCUCAUAUUUCAAUGCAAGUCACUUUGAGACUUAUGACAAUUUCACUAACCUCCCAUCAAAUCUGAAAAACAACGAUUACCUCCCCUCUUCUUAGAUUUGGUCUGAUGAUUUCAGUGUAUUUGGUAUACAUUCCUACAACAAAGGGAUAACAAUCGAAGGGCUUUCGUUUUUAUUAAUUUUUUGGAGUACAAAUUAAUUUCUCAUUAGCAUGUUAUGAAACAUAUGAUAUUCUUGUUCUCAACAAUUUCUUUCUACUAAAAAAUGAAUAGAGAGAAGGGGGAAAAAAGUAAGCCUCAGCUGAUUAAAUUAUGUCCACGCAUAAAUUGUCACAAAGGUUUCUUAAGGGAAAAAGGGUUGGGGGUGGGGGCGGGGGUUCCCUGGGUUAAUUUAACCAAAAUUGAUUAAAGUAAUGAGGUUGGCUUGAUUAAAUUAUGUUUAUCACAAUUGGGUCAUUUCUUAAAAUAUUGACCUUAACAAAGAUGAUCCAUUUCUUGAAAAUGGGCUUUCCUAGAAAAUUUGCGUUCUAGAAAAGCCAUUCUUGGGCAGAUGAUGAAUAAGACUUCGUAUUUUGGGCUGAAUGAAAUGGAUGACACGCCAAAUUUGAUUAUUUAGCCACCGAAUAAAUAUGUUGGGUUUUAUAAAUCACUAUAAGUAAUGGUGUCUUAACUUUGGUUAAUUAGUUAAUUUAGAACACGCAUGGUGAAAUUGGGCUGACAAAGAAAAUAUUAAAGGAUGAUAACGUUUAUAGUGAGCCAAGUACAAUUAUUAUGAAACAAAAUGCCUCACAUUCACAAAUCCCUCAAAUGCUAUCUUUCAAUGCCAAUAAACUACUGGUAUCCAACUCCAAGAUCGCUCCAAAAUUCUAGCCCAAUCAGACACUGUUCCCUUGUUCACAAAAUAAACUUUUACCUCUCUAUGAUUUGUUGCUUUACCACGUGAUUUCCUUAUUAGUUUAAAAACUCAUAUAUACCACAUGACCCCUUAUUGUUUAAAAACCUAUAUAUAAUUCCUUCAUGGUUUGGGUUAAAGUGUUACCAUUGAUUUUUUUCAUUAAAACUAAUGGUCAAUAGUAAAGCGUUAAAAUUAAACUAAUAAAUUGACAAAUUCACUCUUUCACUAUUUUUUUUCCAUUUUCUUUCUUUUUUUUGGUGGAAGAGAAGAGAUGAUUUGGAAACAUAUACUUUGGCCUAUAAAACCUUAAUUUUCUCCAAUUACAAAAGAGAUGGGAGGGAAAUAAAAAAGUAAAUGAGUAAGAAACAAAAAAGAUGGAAGGGAAAUAUAAAACAAAUAAAUAAGAAACAAAAAAUAUCAAAUCUUUUUUUAUCACUAAUAUCAUUACAGAUUUUUAAACCAAAUCUUUGAUGGUAUUUUCUUAUUCUUAUUUAUCUAUUUUUUAUUUUAAUUUCUUCUUUUUUAUGUUUAGAGGGGUAUAAAAGGAAUUAAUGAAAGGGUAAAUUUCUUAAUUUAUUAGUUUAAUUUUGACUUUUACUAUUAACCAUUUGUUUUAAUGAAAAAACUAACAGUCACAUAUUAUCUAAAAUCAUGAGAGGGUUAUAUACAAGUUUUCAAAUCAUAUGGGGUUUACGUGGUAAAGUACCAAACUACAAGGGGUAAAAGGUAAUUUAUCCUUUUUCCAAAUCAGCCCAACAUUUUAAAUUGCCAAACAUUUGCCACUGCUCAAUUGCAUCACUUGCAACAGAAUUUUUUGAAAUUAUCAAAAUACUUGUUUUCUAUCAUCACCAAAUUCAUCCAAACUCACAAAAUUUAUAAAAUAAAAAUCCCAUACAUGUUUAAUCCUUGACAAAUAGCAAUCCAAACAAGGUAACAAGUUUAUGUUCAAUUCUUGAUAAAUAUCAAUCUAAAUAAAGUAACAUGUUCAAUUUCUAAACCAAAGUACUAUCUAAGCCAUUAUUCACCUUCAUCUUCAUUAUCCGUAUCUCCGAUUUCUUAACUUUCAAAAUCGAUAUCAUCAAGAUCAUCCUCAUCAUCAAGUUGCACAAUAUUUGUGUCGUUCUUACCUAAAAAUCAUUUAAAUACUCAUAAAUAAAAAUAUUCAAAAAUAGACAAGAACUAAAAAGAAACUUAGAUAAAGUUAGCAAAUGCAUUCCAAAAUUCAUCUAUGUAGCUAAUAAUGGUCCAUUGAUUACAUGCUUGGCAACCUGAAUCUUGAUUGGAGGCAUUCAAAGCUCAAGUAAUUGAUAUUAAAUACAUUUUAAAAGCAUAUAAUGCUUUCCUUGACUAUCAUUUUAAAAGAAUUGCCCAAACUCCAUUUAUUAGUCAUACGAGUUUUCCCAUCUUCUAAUCUACUAUUUUCACUUGUCAUCUGAUCAUAUUAUAGGUUAAGCCCAUCUUCCGGAUUUCCAUGAAUACAAUGGUCUAAAAUCAAAGCAUCCCAGGAAACUAAACUCUUCAUCGGCAUCCUUCCACAUCUAUUAUACAUAUCAAUUAAGGACGACGUGUUAACAAUCAAACUCAAAUUUCCAGAUUCUGUAAUAAGAGUUCCGUGAAUUGAUUUUCCUUGUUUCAAUCUGGCAGACCUACCACAAGCAGUAAGCACAUUCACCAUAAUUGUUUCAUUGCCUUAAAUCCGAGCUUCACCAUUUCCCUGAAUAACUUCAACCCAUUUCCAGGAUUCCCCAGAUCCAAAUAACCUGUCCUCAUUAUAUUCCAUGAAACAAUAUAUUCCACAAAACAACACCACAGUUUGUUUUCUCUAAAUCAACAGAUACCAUUUUUUUUCUAGUGUCAUUUUGAGUUUAUCAACAACUUGUCUCUUUAAAUAAAAAAAUUAAAAACACCACUACCAACUGAAAAACUUUAUUCACACCCGUAACAUCCAAAUCCCAAAUACCCAGCAUAAUGAAUCAAAAAAAAAAAAUACUGAAAUUUCAGUCUGAUUGUUCCAAAUCUCAUCACAAAGAGUAGCAAAAAGCUCCGAAUCCUCACUUGAAAAGACUUCACAAAAUUGAAAGAUGAUCACCAACUGAAUAAGUAUUUUCAUCAAUGUGAUACCUUAAGUUUCAAAUAGUGGUAUUAAAGGUUUUAGGAUUUAAGAAGCGUGGAGAGAGAAGGAUAAAAUGAGAUGUGAAUUAUAUAGACAAGUUACAUGUCAAACUAGGAAUUGUAAUUAAAAAAACAAAUUGAAAAAGCUUAUUAUUUAUUUUUCUUAUUCUUUUUGCUUUAAAAUGUGGGUUUUAUAUGAAAUUUUUGUCAGUCAAGUACUAUUACCACAUUUGAAUUGUAUUCAAUUGAUAAUAAUAAACUAAAUUAAUAUUCUAAUGUAAAGGACUAAAGUGAUAAAGUUAAAAGUUAAAGGUCUAAAUAGAUAUUUUGAUAAAAGUUUGAGGACUUCUAAUAUACUGUGACUUAUCUGAAUUUAUAUCAAUGGGAUUAGAGUUCUGUUUGCAUGUCAACAAAACAUUUUUCCAAAAUGAAAAUUAUGUGAGGCCUCUACAGUGGAAAGUCAAGCAAUUAAGAAUACUUUUGUUACUACUUUGUAUCAUCUAUUUUUCCCCCCUUGAAUAAGUUCUUUGCAUUCUUGUUGUUAUUGAAGAAGAUGAAACUAGUUAGCUAAAUUAAAAAAUAAAUUUUGGCUUCAAAUUUAAGGUACCAGUUAAAUAGAGCAUAGAUUUUGUCAAAGAGUAACAUUAUACAAUAUUGUUGAAUUCAGACACUUAUCGGAUCGGCCAGACCAUUCUAAAAAAUUCUCUGAAGUUAGCAUGAUGUCAUAAUUAUUUUAUAUUUUUAUAAGUUUUAGAAAUAUUGAAAUUAAAUUUUUUGUUAUACUUGGCCAACCAUAAAAAUGUUACAAAAAUAUUAGGCUUGUAAUCAAAUAUACAACUAAAAAUUAUAUAUAAAUAUAUGAAUUCGUGUCUAAAAUAUUUCCAUUCUCUAAAAUUACUUAAAAACUAAAUUAAAACAAAUCAUACCCAAUUCGAGAUCUUUUUGCUUGGAAUAUGACUUUAUAAUACAGGAAUCACUAAUGAUAAAUUGAUAAGAUGAUAAGGAUGAAAACUUCUUCAUUUAGAGAUCAUUGAGGGAAGCGAGUGAUUUUAAUGUUUAUACUAAGUUAGUGGCAUUUUCUUAUUUCUAUUAAUAAAUAAAAGUUUUACACUUUAAGUAACUCAAAUUAUGUUUCAGGGGAACAAGAGAGAAAAGUUUGAGAAUUGAGUCAAAUAGUUGAAUCGAAUCACUAGUUUGGCUGAUUUUGAUAGUUUUGAUUAAUUUUUGACUAAAAUGAUUUUGUGCUACUAACUACCUUCGGAAAAAAGUAGAUUCAUAUUCAGACUGAUCGGUUUGGUUUGGGACAACACUGACAUUAUAUGGAUAAAGCAUUUGUGAACAAACUUAUACCAAGACUAGUUGUUAGUUCAAGAGAGUUGGGACUGAUAAAUUUUCAACAAGUCUAUAAUUUGUGCAAAAAUUAAUUAUUCAAAGGGUAAUUACCAUUUCAACUUUUAUAAAAAAAAUGUCCAUGUUUAAGGAACAAUUGAAGGCACGUCAGUCAUCCAAUUAGUCUAAAGCUAAUAAUUAUAGAACAAACUACAUUGGCAUCGUAUUCUUGACGGGGAAAGAACCUCAGGGGCUGUCGAAGCUGGGGUUUCGAUCGUAGAGCUGGUUCUUAAGUGCGACAUCGACGACUAUAUUUAAUAGUCAAUGAAAUAACCGCAACCUAUUUUCCAAGUUUGAGAAAAAGAAAUCAAUAAAUUUUGUUAGGGCAAGCAAUAAAAAAAUAAAAAAAGAUUUAAUACGCUUUUCUAAGAUAUUUAUUAUUCAAUUCUUUAGCAUACAUAUAUUGUAAUUUUGAUAUAAUUGUAUCUCAUUUCAUCUUAAAGCUUUUAAAUUUUAAGAAACCAUCUUAACUGAAACUUCAACAUUAUGAUCAACAAGGCCAAGUCAAAACUUCACCAUUUUGAUCAAGUCAUAAUGAUCAACUAUGCCAAGUUGCAGCAAUUUGAUUUUGAACUUCGCCACCCUGAUUUUUUGUCAAUUAUCCUAAGGGUAUGUUUGGUUCCCUAUGUAAUUGGGAUUUAGAAUUAGAAUUGGGGCUCCAAUUCUAAUUCUGUUGUUUGGAUUCUGCUUCACUUGAAGAAUAAGAAUUCAAUCUGAAUUCUAUAGGGGUCCAAUUCCAUAAAUUGAAUUCUUUAUUGGACCAAAAGAAUCCUAAUUCCAAUUCCACAACUAAACCCUAAGAAACGGAUCUACACGCAGAUCUAAUAUGGGUAAAAAAUUAAAAGCGGGUCAAGUAUUCAAGCAUCUCUCUCUCCCAUUCUACUCACAAUGGAUCUUCUAUCCCACACCCUGUGUUGGAUCUUAAGGAAACAAAAAAGAACUAAAAUAUGAUAUUUAUGAAGGAGAAAUAGUAAUCUAUAUCUAUAUAAAUUUGAGAAGGGAUUUUUAGCAACAAGCCUCAUAUAUCUUCCCAUUACCAAUUCCAUUUUUCUAGCAUUUCACAUUUAAUUUAAUUUAUAAAAUAUAUUUCUCUCAACUUCCACAUCUACUCUUCACAUUUGAAAUUAUUGGUUAGUUUUUAAAAUCAUUUCAUUUCAAAUUGUUGAUUGAUGUGCAUGUUAUCUUAUUUGAACUUCAACCCAUCACGUUUUCGAUUGCCUUGCGUUAUUUAUGGUUCUAUAGCAAUUAAAACUUCUAUAAGAUCAUAAGAAGAGAUAACAAAUAUAACAUCCUUUCAUGCUUUCUUAUUAAUUUAAAUAAGUAAGAUUGUUUACACUCCAUUUUUGUUAUUCACACUUCAAUAAUCAUUUUGAUCAUAUCAUUUUCAGUAAUUAGACUAUAUGAUAAAACAAAUGGUGGAAUUGCAAAUAAUAAAAAAUUGAGUGCAAAUAACAUUUUCUUAAGUAAGAAGUGGCUUACAUGCCUUUCUAAUUAAAAAAGUAGUGGCUCCGCUUACAUAGGAAUUUGGUUUGAAGUUUAUUAGUAGGAGGGUAAAUAAAAAGAAAACAUUGCCAAACUUAGUAAAAGUAAAAAAGUAAAUGAUAAUAUUUUAUCUUUAAACUUAGUAAUCCUAAGUAAAAGGGCAAAAUUAAAUAGAAAACAAAAAGGAAAUAAUGUCGUGGAUUUAAAAAAUCAAGAAUGGUACCAUUCAUGAAAUCCAUAUUAUGAAAUCACUAAAUAAAAAAUAAAGUACUACUAGCCUUUUAACGUGGAAACUUUUUUUUUGAAAUAUUCAUUUUUGAUAAAAAAUAAUGAUAAUAACAACACCAAUUCAACCAAAAAUUUUUUAAAAAGUAAUAUUAUAGUUUAAGAGAAAGAUAUAGAACAUUCAACCCUAAAAUACUACUUAAUUUGUAUAUAUCUGGCCCAAAUUUGACAAUAAAUUUGAAUAAGAGUGCAAAACCCAAACAUUAAGGAUAACUUUUGCUAUCAUUAAUUAUUUUAUGUAUUCUUAUUGCUGUCUUCAUAUGUAAAUAUGUAUUUGGUAUGUUAAUAUAUAUAUAUAUAUAUAUAUAUAUAUUGAUUGUAGUACUUGAGGAUAUUAUAGAUAUUAUCAGUUUUUCAUUUCCAUUUUUAGAUACUAAUAAUUGCAACCAUUGUAAUUAAUUUUUAAUUUUAUAUUUUCAUUAUGAUAGGUAAAGUUAAAUAUAUUGGGUCGCAGGGAUAUGAAUUUAGAGCUUAGGUAUAGGGGGAGGAGCGAGGGAAAAAAAUGGUGAGAUGUUGAAAAGUAGCAGGAAAGGUUGAAGAAGAAAUAAGGGUUACAAGGAUAGGCGGAGAAGGGAGAGAAGAAGAAAGGGGAUUGUAGGGAUAUGACAGAGAUGACAAAAAUAAUAAUAAUAAUAAUAGAGAGGGUGGUAUCAUGAUAGAAGAUAUGAAAGUGGUAGGAGGCAUCUGAUGACUAGUUGGCGUAUAAGAGAAGAGGGAAAUGAUGGUGAUUUUUAAUAAUUUUGAGAACUUUAAAAACAUAUAUUACGGAGAAUUUUUUUAAAUUAUACAUUAAAGUUUAGGAAAAAUGCUAAUCUAAAUGUAGUCAACAAUUUUAGGGGUACAAGAUACAAGAAAGAUUUUUUUUUCUAAAAAUGGAAGAAAAUAAAUUGGUUAUAAUUUAUUUUUUUUAUAUUAUAAGUUUUGAUAUAUGGGUAUAACAUAAUAUGUUUUGUCGGAUAUUGAUAAAUUGAUUCUUUUUUAUAAAACUCUUUUCACCUUACCACCCAACCUAACCCUCUCCUUAAAUGCGUUAACAAUUCUUUUAUCAUUUAAAUCAUUAUAUAUUAAAUUUUUUUUCAAGAUAUUAAGCAUACACUUCUUUAAAAUUUUUAGUCUAUAUAUAUAUACUUAUUAUUUUGUACCACAAUAUAAAUAUAUAAAAUAUUAUUUUGAUUUAAAAUAUAACCCCGUGCAUAGCACGGGUCAAAAUACUAGUAUAAUAAAAAGUGGGAUAGAGAGUUGCACAGGGUGUGAGACAGAAGAUUUGUUGCGCAUUCUAAUUCACCAUUUUUUCUCAGCUGCAAGUGCUCCUGCUCUCCACCAUCGCUUCUACCUCCGCCCUAACAUUUUGCCGCUUUCGCCACCGUUUCCCCCAUCGCUCUUCGUUUCAGCCAUCCCUCUUCCCUUCGCCACUCCUGCCAUGCAUCCACCCAUCACCUUGCCAAUCGCAAGACUAAUCCGAGUGCUCUCUCCUUCCCCCUGCUUAAUUUUCUUGAACUGGGUUCUUCAGUCUUGAAGGUAAUAUCUCCUAAGAAUUUGCACUGAAAUUUGACGUUUUCUUACAAAGCACUGCCUAACUCUUGAGUGCCAGAUAUUAAUUCUAGUAAUGGUUCUUGACUUUGGUUUUACAGCCCAGCAAUGGCUCAGAACCUACAGUUGGAAAGACCCUUCUUGAGGACACAGGUCUAUUUUUUUACAGAAACCUGGUACUUGAUUGGUGUAUGAGCUCUUUUAGCAUUUUCUCUGCUGUUCAAUAUUCUUUUUGUUGAAGUAUUGACAUUUUUAAAGCGUAAGCCCCACGUACAACCUUGUUAUCAUGCAAUUUUGGUUUCUAAUAUACUAUAUAGUAAAGAAGUCCAUGUCUUAAUUCCGUGGUGUCAACUUAACGUCAGCUCUAGGAGAUAAUAAAGCUGUUAUUCUUGAGGAUGAUGAGCAAAACAUGGAUAGACGGCAAGUUGCAUCACAUCCUGGAGGUUUGUGGUCUAUUCAACUCCAGCUUUUUGCAUAUGCAACUCAAAGAUAAAUACUCUGUGUCCCUUGAUAAAAUGAGUUCAGACUUUCGACAAGGUUUGAAACGUGAUAUAUACAUUUUCCCAAAAUCCAAUAUAAAGUUUAGUACUCAAUUAGCACUUAAAUUUAAUGGAUUCUAAAAGCACAAAAGGAGGAAGAAAUAAAGAAUCUAAAAUGCACAAAAGGAGGGGGAAAAUGGAUGGAGAAAGAAUCUACCGACAGAAAGAAAAUGGAGUAAAGAAAAUUGAGGUUAUUGACAUUCAACAAGGGAACUUAUUUCAUCCUAAAGCUGCAUUCCGGUGAUUUAAUUACUACUACUGCUGAAGUCUUUAGUAGUGGAUCGAUGCAAUUUUAGUCAAGUAAAUGAACUUGUAUUUGUCACGGUUGAUGGAUUCAAAUAAGCUGUGGUGUGAUUGUUCUCAACAAGACCACAAUUUCUUCUUUGCAUACUCAACCACAUGCACAUGAUUACUUUUGGGCAUAACUUUUAACAACAAUCAACUAACAUAUAAAAGGGAAUUAGUCAAUUGCUUAUGGAAUCAAGUUGAUUGCUGACACAUUUUCCUUUUCUAUGAUAAAGCUUAAAAUCAUUACUCUCUAACUUAUGUUAACAAUAUGGUGGUUUAAUAUGAUGGCCACAGUCAAUUGCUUAAAAGUUUCAGGUUUUUAUUCUUGUUCACACAUAUCUAGUAUGGCUAAAUCUAAAUCUAAAUCCUCAUUUCUAAGUAAUUUAUGUGGUAAACAGAAAGGUUUAACAAUAUAGAUGGGCUAAAAUAUCUUUGACUCAAGUUGAUCGUUGACUCAACUAAGCAAAGAAUCAACUCUGUUCUAUGUAUCCUAGCUAUGAGAUCUACAGCUUCAACAAAUUGAACCUGGUCAACUUAAAGCACCUUAGCACUUUCUACCGUGAUUGUAGGACUAACAUGUUUUGUUUAAGAAUAGCCUCCAAAAGCUUGGCCGUUAGUCGAACCAGUUUACCUGCUGUUAAUGUAGUUUUUCAAGCAGGGAUCAACAAUUACAUGCUUUAGUUUUCUUUUAACAAAAAAGAAAGAUUUUAAUGUUUGAGCCAUAAGUGAUUUAAUCACAUGUUAGUGCAUUACUAAUCCAAUUAGUGACCUCUGGUUUUAGUUUUUUGAUGCCACAACAUAGUUAUUAUAUUAAAAAAGAGCCCUUAUGAUAAAUAUCACCUAACACAUAUAUUUUGACACAAUAUGUCUUGAUCGUAGGUGCACCACUAACUUUAUUAAGUAUGCUACAAGUGAGUAAUAUUAUAAACUAGAAAUUGAUGAUGAUCAGUCAAUAAGUCUGUCAUUAAGUCUAUAACAUGAAUCUUAUUGUUAGUCACCGUUUACUUACUAUCUAUGAUAACUAUCCUAUUUUGUUUAAAUUGAUCUAUAGCUAUAGCUAAGUUGUGCUGAAACUAGUUAGAAUGAUUAUGGACCUAUAAUAUAAUUUCAUGUGGACACAACAAUAACCCGCUUAUUUCUAUACUAUUAGUCUAUUCUUGUCUAGCUUGAAAAUCAUCUUAUACAUGUAAUUAUCACUAAUUACUAGUUUAUAAACCGAUCAACUUGUCAACAUAAACCCUGAUCUUGUUGGUAUCAAUUUGCAGGAACCAGUCAUGGACUAAAAGCCGCUUCAAAUUGCUUUAUGUUUUCUUGGUGAUUAAUAUGAUAUUCAUCCAUUUCUUUGAAAAAAAGAAAAGUUAUCCAUUUCGUACUAAUACUUGAUAUGGUGAUUCUGAAUUGCAGAAUUUGGAUAUUGACAUGGAUAAAGAAGGAGAUGAGUAAAAAGCAAAAAAGAGAGAAGUGAUAGUUGCAAAUUAUAUGAUAACAGUAACCGCAUUAGUAGUUUGGUGGCAUGAGAAACAUAUAGUAAAGAAGCCUUAUUUUGACUUUAAAGUAGCACCUGAAAUAUAUCAAAUGCGUCUUUACUAUGGAAACAGCAGAGUUUGUGUAGAACAACUUCGACUCAAUAAUUGUUUUACUGUUUUAUGUACAAAUUUAAGAGAGCAUUGUGGGUUGAGGGAUACUAGAAAUAUUAUUGUUGAAGAAGUAGUUGCAAUAUUUCUCUAUGUUCUUGCUCAUAACUUUAAGAAUCGCAUUGUCAAUUUUAAUUUCAUAAGAUCAGGUGAGACAGUUAGUCAAUACUUUAAUAUAGUUCUUAACUUUAAAAAAAGUAUCAAGGCUUUAACUUGAUAAAUAUUAACUACUUUUUAAGUUAGAAUAUAUAAUUAUUUUUUAUUUAAUAUAAUUUAAUUAAGAAAAAAGAAACAAGAAUAAUAUUUUUUUUUGCAGAAAAGGAACUAAUUUUUUUUUCUAAUUAUUUUUUAAAGCUUUAGUAACAAUUAGUUAAAUGCAAGAAAAAAUAAAUUAUUAAAGGCAUUAAUUGGUUUUUUCCUUAAAGCUUUAGUAACAAUUACCUAUAUGUUAAAAAAUUAUUAUAUAGUAAAAAAAAAAGAAAUUUUUUAUGAAAGGAAAUGUUAGUUGGAAACAAUUCUAAUUCUUAACGAAUUCUUCUCCCAUCCAAAUAAAGAAUUUGAAAUUCUGAAUGAAUUCUGUAUCAAUGUUAUGCAUUUCCCAAACAAAAGAAUUCCAAUAUUUUGGAAUUCCAAUUCUGUAGAACCAAACGUACCCUAAAUUUACACAAAAUUCGUAGCAUCGGGGACCACAUUUGCAAAAGUCAAAAGUUUGGGGACUACAUAAGUUAUAAAAUGGAUCGAUUAUAGCGUAAUUUCCAGCAACAUGGGGGUCUUUUGUUUUGUUGGGUGUAGUCCAUUGGGUUGCCCGUGAACCGCGUGGGAAAUUGUUCAAUUAUUUAACCUUUGCAAAUUGGUGGGUGCCCCGCCACCUCUUUCAAUUUUUUUUUUUUAAUAUAAGUAGGAUCCGAAUCUCUAAUUUACAGCUCAAAAGAGAGACUUUAAUCUUUUUUAAAUGGCCACUACCUUUGCAAGUUGGCAAGCUAUCCUGUUUACAUAAAGGUUGGGAUUUUACUGUGGAAUAUGUGUUGGCAGAUCCAGGCGUGAAUAAGUUAUUUAACAGCUGAAUAUUGGAAGAUAACAUUACAAUAGUCAAAAAAAAAUUUACUGCUAUUGUCUAUUGUGCAUCAUCCUGGAAAAUUCAAGCAACUAUUUUAGAAAAUGACUCUCAUAAUUAUGGUCAAGCCAAUCCAACAGUGCUACCAAGCUCGAAAAUACAGCAAAAGGUAAAAUGCUUUGAAACCGGAUCGACAAGUGAAUUGGAUGAGCUUCCUAUUUAUGGCUCAAUCAAUUCAACCUGUUAAACUCCGAUUUAAUGAUUUUAUAAAAUUUUAAUUAUAUUAACGUUAAAUAAUUUGAAUAACAUUAAUGUAUAAAAAAUAAUGAAAAAUCGGUCCAAAGGCCGGUUUUUUAACUGAUCCAAUAGUGCUCCCAAGCUUGAAAAUAUAGCAAAAGGCAAUAUUUUGAAAUUGGGGCCUACAAGUGAACUGGAUGAAUUUUUUAUUCAAUUAAUUUUGCGGUUCAAUCUCUGUUUAGUGAUUUUAUUAUUUUUUUGUUUAUUUUAAAAUUAAAUUUUUUGGAUAAAAUUAAUAUAUGAGCUAGAAAUAAAAUUUUUGUGUAAAACCAGUUCAAAGACCUUUUUUUUUCUUAUCGAUUUUGAUUCAUCUGAUCGAAUUUGAUUGAUUCAAUUGAGUUUCUGGGUUAAAUAUAGAAAAACAAAUUAUUCGGGAAAUCACUAAACCUUUUUAAUAGUCAAGAUUUAGCCACUCAAUUAUUAAUAGUAUGUUGUUUUCCAUUAAACUAUUAAUAAUAUCAAUUUUGUGCCAUUUCAUCUAAUUUCACUAUUGACUCUGUUAGAUCUAAGGGUCUACACAAGAUAUAUUAGUAAUGGUUAAAUCUGGUAGAGUUAAUGACAAAUUAGAUGGAAUGACCUAAAAUUUAAAUUUUUAAUAGUUUAGUGGGUAAAAACUUAGCUGGCCACUGUAUCCCGAGCCCAUGCACCUUCCUGAGUUCUGAGAUAGAGGUUUGGAGGGGGUGCCUAGGCAUCAAAGUGCUCCUUUCUCUUGGUGGAGGGGGUGCCGGGGCAGGGAGAGGACCAAUCCUGGCUUCUCCCGAGGAUGCUCGCGACGUUGCAGCCUACCUCUGGAACAAUUAUUUGGGCGGUCAAUCAAACUCUCGUCCAUUUGGUGAUGCUGUUUUAGAUGGUAUAGAUUUUGACAUCGAAUAUGGAUCGAACCUGUACUGGGAUGAUCUUGCCCGGGACCUCUCGGGAUACAGCAUAGCAGAGAGAAAGGUGUACUUAUCUGCAGCACGACAAUGCUUCUUUCCUGACUAUUAUCUUGAUGCUGCUAUCAGAACUGGCCUCUUUGAUUUCGUCUGGG
rnacentral:lncRNA from 1 species